rnacentral:lncRNA from 1 species
UCUUCUUGCUACCUCUUGAGCCUACGUUGGUUUUUUCCCUUGAAGAGGUAAGGGUGAUGCAGCACAGUAGCAGUAAGUAUUUCCCUCAGUUUGAGAACCAAGGUAUCAAUCCAGUAGGAGUAUCAAGAUGAAGCACCGAUGUACCUGCUCAAAAACAGCAAACUUGCACCCAACGCUACAAAGGGGUUGUCAAUCCCUUCACGAUUGAUUGCAUGGUGAGAUCUGAAGGCGGAAACUGCAACAAAGUAAAAGUGUAGGGCUGAAAAUAUGAUGUGAAGUAGACCCGGGGGCCAUAGUGUUCACUAGAGGCUUCUCUCAAAAUAGCAAGUAUUACAGUGGGUGAACGAAUUAUUGUCGAGCAAUUGAUAGAACCGCGCAAAGUCAUGACGAUAUCUAUGGCAAUGAUCAUACAUAUAGGCAUCACAUCCGAGACAAGUAGACCGAUACUUUCUGCAUCUACUACUAUUACUCCACACAUCGACCGCUCUCCAGCAUGCAUCUAGUGUAUUGAGUUCAUGACAAACAGAGUAACACCUUAAGCAAGAUGACAUGAUGUAGAGGGAUAAAGUCAUGCAAUAGAUAUAAACCCCAUCUUUUUACCCUUGAUGGCAACAACACGAUGCGUGCCUUGCUACCCCUUCUGUCAUUCGGUGAGGUCACGGCACGGUAUGAACCCAAAACCAAGCACUUCUCCCAUUGCAAGAAUCAUAGAUCAAGUUGGCAAAAGAAAACCCACAACUCGAAGAGAAUUACAAGGAUAUGAAAUCAUGCAUAUAAGAGAUCAUAAGAAACUCAAAUAAGAUUCAUAGAUAAUCUGAUCAUAAAUCCAUAAUUCAUUGGAUCUCAACAAACACACCGCAAAAGAAGAUUACAUCGGAUAGAUCUCCAUGAAGAUCAUGGAGAACUUUGUAUUGAAGAUCCAAGAGAGAGAAGAAGCCAUCUAGCUACUAGCUAUGGACCCGAAGGUCUAUGGUGAACUACUCACGCAUCAUCGGAGAGGCAAUGGUGUUGAUGAAUAAGCCCUCCGUAUCCGAAUCCCCCCUCCGGCACGGCACGAGAACGUGCCCGAGAUGGGAUCUUGCGGAGACAGAAGCUUGCGGCGGCGGAAAAGUAUUUUCAUGGAUCUCUCUCGUGGUUUUGGAUUUUUGGGGGAUUUAUAGGCGGAAGAAGUAGGGCAGAGGAGUCACAAGGGGGUCGUGCCUAGGGGGCUUGUGGCCUCCCCUGGUGCCCUCUGCCUUGGUUCUCACGCUCCCUGCGUAUCUUCUGUUCCGAAAAAAAUCUUUUUGGAGGUUUUAUUCCGUUUGAACUCCGUUUAAUAUUCUUCUCUGAAAAGGGUCAAAAACACGGAAAAGACAGGAACUCGCACUUGGCACUGAGUUAAUAAGUUAGUCCCAAAAAAGAUAUAAAAAUUAUAGAUACGUUGGAGACGUAUCAUUAGGCUCCGCCCCUUCAUUCGUACCCCUAAUACUAUUGUCAGACUCGUUCCCUCGACAUCGACAACUCAUGGGCAGCGGCCCCGGCGUGCGAUAGCUCGCUUGCGGCAGGGCGGUGACGAGAUUUGGGCGGAAUCGAGUUCGGAAGGCCGUGACACAGGCUGCGGGGGAAGCGGUUGGGCUAAAGAUUUCCUCCCACCAAGAAUAGAGGAUACUCUAAAAGAGGACGAAAUCGUGAAGAAAGAGAGGAAAUGAGCUCGUGGAUACGGGAUUCCACACAAAAAAUCAGGACAAACAAUUUUGAAAUUUACUCUAAUCAGAUUUACGAAAUUUAUCUCACAAAUCGAUGAUUAUUUUAUCAGAUGGACCGGUUUAUAGGAUUUUCUACACAUGAUAUAAGGUCAUAACGCUAGAAAAAUCAGGACAAACAAUUUUGGAAUUUAUUUUAAGUGGAUUUAUAGGAUCUAUUCUCGCAAAUCGAUGAUUAUAUUUUAUCUGAUGGACCGGCUUGCAGGAUGGUGUAAGGCUUCCUCCAAUGCAAAGGUGCCAAGUGAGGUGCUAAGAGCAUUAAAUAUGUUAAGCAAUCAUAAUAUCCAAUGCAUUGGUGCUUAGUUUGUUGUUGCUAAGGUUAUCUCAUUUAAUUGUUUAGCAACUAAAGUCUUGCAUGCAUAGGCUAGUUCUCUUCAUUUUUAAUGCUUUGCAUAGGUUUCCAUGACUAGAACCGUUUCCUCCUAAGGACAUCAAAAUUUUCUCUCUCUUCUUAAUUAGAUUUCCACAUAGGAUAUUUUGCCUUGUUGACAUGCUUAGAUCAUCUCUAGUGGCUUGUGUAAAUUUGGUAGUCUAUAUCUUCAUAUAGACAAUGGUCUAAAAAAAUUUGAAUUUAGACAACCUCUGUUUUCUAGCGGAUUGUCUAAAUUUGGUAGUCUAUAUUUCCAACGGCUCUAUUUGCAAAUACACAAACAUCAAUCAGCAGCAACAUACACAAUUAGGCUUCUGCGUGUUGUGCACCGCACGCAAGGCAACUUCUGCCUGCUGCGCAGCGCAUGCAGGGCAGCCCUGCUGCACGCGGCGCCGCCGCAGUUCCCCCUCCCGUCGGCCUCCCCACCCCCUCCCCCCUACCGCCGCCGGCCUGAGCGCCCCCCUGCCCCCGCGGCCAUCGCCGGCCAGUGCGCCCUCCCUUGUCCCCCCUCUCUCUCUCCAAAUCUGACGAGAAAAGGCCAUACCUCAGCGACGGCGGCAAGCUCGGGGCAGUGGCGGGCGUCCUCCUCGUCUCGAUCUGCUCGAGAUGGGUGCGGGAGAGACGGCGCAAGAAGCAGCUGGGAUUUGCUCGUAGUCGCUCAGUCGUGUAUAUUUGGACAAUGGGUAGCGAUUUUACUGGAUGUGUAUAUUUUAGACUAGCUUUUUUAAAAACUUGUUGUCCUUUUAUUAACUAGCUAACAAAGCUAGGAAUGUCAUCAGAAAUUACAGCUAACACAAAGUACGGGGGUACCCCCAACCACACCUUACAAAGCUCAUCUCCAACUCCAACUUUUGCAAAGUUAUGCGCGACACCAUUAGCUGAUCGCCGUACCCAGUCCACUCUACAAGCUUCAAAGGACAAAACAACAAUUUGAUCUCCUAAAUCCAAGUCCCGACAGCAGCCAAGUUCAUCUGUUGAUCCUUCAGCAUCAUAACCAAACCUUGAUUAUCUAGUUCAAGGUGGAUCUUGGCUAUCCCUCUCUGUCUUGCUAACUGCACAGCCCGUCGACACGCUAGGAUCUCGGCCACUUCCGCAUCCCGGACUUCGCUGAAGAAAUGGCUAGCAUCGGCAAGGAACGCUUCAUUGUGAUCACGCAGCACUGCUCCACCGCCCUACUACUACGACAACAGACCUUCCCUAGCACGGCGCCAGGAAUCCUGCUGCUACGGCUACGCCUAUAGGGACUUCCUUGGCAAAUAUGCAAAGGAUUUCCCCGCAGCCUUGGAGCCUUGCGUUGGUGUUCCCUUGAAGAGGAAAGGGUGAUGUAGCACAGCGGCGGUAAGUAUUUCCCUCAGUUUUGAGAACCAAGGUAUCAAUCUAGUAGGAGGAGCGUUCAAGUCACAAGUACCUGCACAAACACAAAGAGCUUGCACCCAACGCUAUGAAGCGGUUGUCAAUCCCUUAUAGAUUGUUUGCAAAGUGAGAACUGAAAGCAACAAAGUAAACAAAGCAAAGUAAAAGUGAAAGUGGAGACGAUAGUUGUGAAUAGACCCGGGGGCCGUAGUGUUCACUAGUGGCUUCUCUCAUGAAAGCAAGUAGACGGUGGGUGAACGAUUUACUGUCAAGCAAUUGAUAGAACCGCGCAAAGUCGCGGCGUUAUCUAAGGCAAUGAUUAUAUAUAUAGGCACCACAUCCAAAACAAGUAGACCAAUACUUUCUGCAUCUACUACUGUUACUCCACACGUCGACCGCUAUCCAGCAUGCAUCUAGUGUAUUAAGUCCAAAAGAAUAGAGUAACGCCUUAAGCAAGAUGACAUGAUGUAGAUGGAUAAUCUCAUCUCUACGUUAAAAGCCCAUCUUGUUACCCUUGAUGGCAACAACAUGAUGCGUGCCUUGCUGCCCCUUCUGUCACUGGGAAAGGUCACCACACGAUAUGAACCCAAAACCAAGCACUUCUCCCAUUGCAAGAAUCAUAGAUCUAGUUGGCCAAAAAAAACCAAGACUCAAAGAGAAUUACAAGGAUAUCAAAUCAUGCAUAUAAGAAAUCAGCAAAGACUCAAAUAUAAUUCAAAGAUAAUCUGAUCACAAAUACACAAUUCAUCGGAUCUCGACAAACACACCGCCAAAGAGGAUUACAUCGGAUAGAUCUGCAUGAAGAUCAUGGAGAACUUUGUAUUGAAGAUCCAAGAGAGAGAAGAAGCCAUCUAGCUACUAACUACGGACCCGUAGGUCUGAAGUGGACUACUCAUGAGUCAUUGGAGAGGCGAUGAUAUUGAUGUAGAAGCCCUCCAACUCCAAAGUCCCCUCUGGCAGGGCACCGGGAAGGGUCUCCAGAUGAGAUCUCGCGGAAACGGAAGCUUGCAGUGGCGGAAAAGUGUUUUCGUGGAUGCCCUGAUUUUUUCUGGAUUUUUAGGGAAUUUAUAGGCCAAAGAGCUAGGGCAGGGGAGCGCCAGGGAGGCCACAAGCCUGGUUGCCGCAGGCCCCCUGGCCGCGGCAACAGGGCUUGUGGGCUCCCUGUGGGCCCACUGCCUUGGCCCUCAAGCCUCCCAAUCUUCUUCUGUUCUGGAAAAAUUUAUUUCAGGGAUUUUAUUCCGUUUGGACUCCGUUCCAAAAUCAGAUCUGAAAAUAGUCAAAAACACAGAAAAAACAGGAACUGGCACUUGGCACUGAAUUAAUAAGUUAGUCCCAAAAAAGAUAUAAAAGGUAUAUAAAACAUCCAAAGUUGACAAGAUAACAGCGUGAAACCAUCAAAAAUUAUAGAUAUGUUUGAGACGUAUCAUGCCCCCCUUAGUACCAGAUUUUGUCAUAGCGCCAUCUGAAUUGACCUUUAUCCACCCUACCUCCGGCACUUCCCAUCUCUGAAUAUGCAUAUUUUUUGGCAGACCCUCGGGCCUAUCAUGUGUGUUCCUCCACUCCUGUAACAUAGCAGUAACAGACUCCAAUAUCGCAUGUGGUGUAGCAAUCCUNNNNNNNNNNNNNNNNNNNNNNNNNNNNNNNNNNNNNNNNNNNNNNNNNNNNNNNNNNNNNNNNNNNNNNNNNNNNNNNNNNNNNNNNNNNNNNNNNNNNUGCAUGCUGGAUAGCGGUCGAUGUGUGGAGUAACAGUAGUAGAUGCAGAAAGUAUCGGUCUACUUGUUUUGGACGUGAUGCCUAUAGAUGUAAUCAUUGCCUUAGAUAACGUCACGACUUUGCGCGGUUCUAUCAAUUGCUCGACAGUAAUUCGUUCACCCACCGUCUACUUGCUUUCUGAGAGAAGCCACUAGUGAACACUACGGCCCCCGGGUCUAUUCACAACUAUCGUCUCCACUUUCACUUUUACUUUGCUUUGUUUACUUUGUUGCUUUCAGUUCUCACUUUGCAAACAAUCUAUAAGGGAUUGACAACCCCUUCAUAGCGUUGGGUGCAAGCUCUUUGUGUGUGUGUAGGUACUUGUGACUUGAACGCUCCUCCUACUGGAUUGAUACCUUGGUUCUCAAAACUGAGGAAAAUACUUACCACCGCUGUGCUACAUCACCCUUUCCUCUUCAAGGGAACACCAACGCAAGGCUCCAAGGCCGCAGGUAAAUCCUUUGCAUAUUUGCCAAGGAAGUCCCUAUAGGCGUAGCCGUAGCAGCAGGAUUCCUGGCGCCGUGCUAGGGAAGGUCUGUUGUCGCAGUAGCAGAAGGAUUUCUGGCGCCGUUGCCAGGGAGGAGAGAUCAAGUCAAGAUCUAUCCAAGUAGGUGUCACAAACUCAUCUCUUGCAUUUACCUUUUUUGCCAGUUGCCUCUCGUUUUCCUCUCCCCCACUUCACAUUUGCCGUUUUCAUUUGCCUUUCUCCCUUGCCGUUUCCUUUUGCCUUUUUGCCGUUUUCUUUUGUCUUUGCCGGUUUUCUUGCUUGCUUGUUUGUUUGUUGAAGUCAUCAUGGCUGAAAACACCAAACGUUGCGACUUCUCGAGCACUAAUAAUAUUGAUUUUAUUAGUACUUCGAUUGCUCCCGCCACUAGUGCGGAAUCGUAUGAAAUCAACGCAGCCUUGCUGAAUCUUGUUAUGAAAGAGCAAUUCUCUGGCCUUCCUUGUGAAGAUGUCGCAUCCCAUCUCAAUACCUUCAUUAAGCUUUGCGAUAUGUGAUACGUCUCGAAAGUAUCUAUAAUUUUUUAUGGUUUCACGCUGUUAUCUUGUCUUCUUUGGUUGUUUUAUGUAUCUUUUUAUAUCUUUUUGGGACUAACUUAUUAAUUCAGUGCCAAGUGCCAGUUCCUAUUUUUUCCGUGUUUUGACUCUUUUCAGAUCUGAUUUUGGAACGGAGUCCAAACGGAAGAAAAACCCCGAAAUGAUUUUUUCCCGAACGGAGGAAGACCAGGGGGUUUUUGGGCCGAGCCAGGUGGGCUCCAGGGAGCCCACAAGCCCCCACUCCGCCACCAGGGGAAGGCGGCGGUGGGCAGGCUUGUGGCCUCCCUGGCUGCCCCUUGACCUAGGUUAUUUGCCUAUAAAUUCCCAAAUAUUCCGCAAAAAAUCAAGGGAGCCUCGAAAAUACUUUUCCGCCGCCGCAAGCUUCUGUUUCCGCGAGAUCUCAUCUGGAGACCCUUCCCGGCGCCCUGCCGGAGGGAAUUUGGAGUUGGAGGGCUUCUUCAUCAUCAUCAUAGCCCCUCCAAUGACUCGUGAGUAGUUCACUUCAGACCUACAAGUACAUGGUUAGUAGCUAGAUGGCUUCUUCUCUCUCUUGGAUCUUCAAUACAAAGUUCUCCAUGAUCUUCAUGGAGAUCUAUCCGAUGUAAUCUUCUUUGGCGGUGUGUUUGUCGAGAUCCGAUGAAUUGUGGAUUUUUGAUCAGAUUAUCUAUGAUAUAUAUUUGAGUCUUUGCUGAUUUCUUAUAUGCAUGAUUUGAUAUCCUUGUAAGUCUCUCCGAGUCUUGGGUUUUGUUUGGCCAACUAGAUCUAUGAUUCUUGCAAUGGGAGAAGUGCUUUGUUUUGGGUUCUACCAUGUGGUGACCUUUCCGAGUGAUAGUAGGGGCAACAAGGCACACAUCAAGUAGUUGCCAUCAAGGGUAAAAAGAUGGGGGUUUUAUCAUUGGUUUGAGAUUAUCCCUCUACAUCAUGUCAUCUUGCUUAAGGCGUUACUCUGUUCUUAUGGACUUAAUACACUAGAUGCAUGCUGGAUAGCGGUCGACGUGUGGAGUAAUAGUAGUAGAUGUAGAAAGUAUCGGUCUACUUGUUUCGGACGUGAUGCCUAUAGAAAUAAUCAUUGCAUAGAUAUCGUCACGACUUUGCGCAGUUCUAUCAAUUGCUCGACAAUAAUUUGUUCACCCACCGUCUACUUGCUUUUAUGAGAGAAGCCACUAGUAAACACUACGGCCCCCGGGUCUAUUCACAUCCAUCAUUUACAUCUCCGCUUUUACUUUGCUUUGUUACUUUGUUGCUUUCAGUUCUCACUUGGCAAACAAUCUAUAAGGGAUUGGCAACCCCUUCAUAGCAUUGGGUGCAAGCUUUUGUGUUUGUGCAGGAUCUUGACAUACUCUUCCGCCGAAUUGAUACCUUGGUUCUCAAACUGAGGGAAAUACUUACCAUCACUGUGCUACAUCACCCUUUCCUCUUGGAGGGAACACCAACGCAAGGCUCCAAGGCCACGGGGGAAAUCCUUUGCAUACUUGCCUAGGAAGUCCCUUAAGGCGUAGCCGUAGCUGAAGGAUUCCUGGUGCCGUCGACACAACUAUUUCUGGCGCCGUUGCAAGGGAUACACAACAAACAUCAGAAGUAUUUCUGGCGCCGUUGGGGGGGAGGAGAAAACAAGAUCUAUCCAAGUAGGUCUCACAAACUCUUCUCUUGCAUUUACUUUUGUUGCCAGAUGCCUCUCGUUUUCCUCUCCCCUAGUUCACAUUUUCCGUUUUCAUUCGCCUUUCUCCUUCGCCGUUUUCUUUUGCCCUUGUCGUUUUCCUUUGUCGGUUUCUUGCUUGCUUGUGUGCUUGUUUGUUUGUUGAAGACAUCAUGUCUGAAAACACCAAACUUUGCGACUUCUCAAGCACUAAUAAUAAUGAUUUUAUUAGUACUCCGAUUGCUCCCGCCACUAGUGCGGAAUCGUAUGAAAUCAACGCAGCUUUGCUGAAUCUUGUUAUGAAAGAGCAACUCUCUGGUCUUCCUAGUGAAGAUGUCGCAUCCCAUCUCAAUACCUUCAUUGAGCUUUGUGAUAUGCAAACGAAAAGAGAUGUGGAUAAUGACGUGAUUAAGUUGAAACUUUUUCCUUUCUCGUUGCGAGAUCGCGCAAAAACUUGGUUUUCUUCUUUGCCUGAAAAUAGUAUCGAUUCUUGGGAGAGAUGCAAAGAUGCUUACAUAUCCAAGUAUUUUCUGUCGGCUAAGAUCAUCUCCUUACGUAACGAUAUCAUGAAUUUCAAGCAACUUGAUCAUGAACACGUUAAACAAUCUUGGGAGAGGAUGAAGCUUAUGAUUAGAAAUUGUCCCGCUCAUGGCUUGAGUUUGUGGAUGAUUAUACAAAUCUUUUAUGCUGGCUUGAAUUUCGCUUCUCGCAAUAUCUUGGACUCCGCCUCAGGUGGAACGUUCAUGGAAAUCACGUUAGGAGAUGCUACAAAAUUCCUAGACAAUAUCAUGACCAACUACUCUCAGUGUCACACUAAAAGGUCACAUGCUAGCAAAAAGGUGCACGCUAUAGAAGAGAUUAAAUCGCUUAGUGCUAAGAUGGACGAGUUGAUGAAUUUGGUUGCUAGUAGAAAUGCUACCGUAGAUCCUAAUGACAUGCCACUGUCUUCCUUGAUUGAGAGUAGCAACGCUAGUUUGGACGUGAAUUUUGUUGGUAGGAACAAUUUUGGCAACAACAAUGCUUUUAGAGGAAACUAUGUUCCUAGGCCUUUUCCUAGUAACUCCUCUAAUAAGUAUGGCAAUUCCUACGGCAACACUUAUUGAAAUCACAACAAAUCACCCUCUGAUAUAGAAAGUAAUAUCAAAGAGUUCAUCAACUCUCAAAAGAUUUUCAAUGCGUCCAUAGAGGAACAACUACUCAAAAUAGACGAUUUGGCUAAAAGCGUUGAUAGGAUGUCUUGUGAUAUUGAUGCUUUGAAAGUUAGAUGCGCUCCUCCCAAGAUCAUCUUGGAUGAAACUUUGAAAGCUAUGUGUAUCUCCAUGAAUGAGAGCAAAGAAAGAACCGCCCAAAUUCGCGCUAGACAUGAAUGGUUUAAAAGGGUGCGUUCUAGUGAUGCAAAUCACGAAGAUCUUAAAGUGUUGGUCUGUCUCCCUUGAAUCUUUGUCUUCGCGUGUCAAACCUACUUAUGGAGGGGCUGGAUAUGAAUCCACUUUGGUUGAAAAACGCCCCAAUGAUUCGGAGUCCACCUAUCUUGAUGAUAAAGGUGUGGAGAGUAGAGUAGAAGAAGUCAAAAUUUUCGGUAGUAAUGAAACUCCCACUUUGGAUUUCAAGGAAUUGAAUUAUGAUAUUUGCUCCUUGUUUGAAUGCAUUUCUUUGAUGCAAUCCAUUGCAAACUCUCCACGUGCUUAUAGCCAAAGCAAAGCCUUUACCGCUCAUAUCGUAGAUGCUAUGAUGAAAUCUCUUGUAGAUAAGCUCGAACUAGAAGUCUCUAUACCUAGAAAACUUCAUGAUGAGUGGGAACCUACUAUCAAAAUCAAGAUAAAAAACUAUGAGUGCAAUGCUUUGUGUGAUUUGGGUGCUAGUGUUUCCGCGAUUCCAAAGUCUUUAUGUGAUAUUCUUGGUUUUCAUGAGAUUGAAGAGUGUUCUCUUAAUUUGCAUCUUGUGGAUUCUACUGUCAAGAAACCCAUGGGAAGGAUCGAUGAUGUUCUUAUUGUUGCAAAUAAGAACUAUGUACCCGUGGAUUUCAUUGUACUUGACAUAGAUUGCAAUCUUUCAUGUCCCAUUAUUCUUGGUAGACCUUUCCUAAGGACUAUUGGUGCUAUCAUCGAUAUGAAGGAAGGGAAUAUUAGAUUUAAAUUUACUUUAAAUAAGGGCAUGGAGCACUUUCCUAGAAAGAAAAUAAGAUUGCCUUAUGAAUCUAUGAUGAGGGCUACUUAUGGUUUGAGGACCAAAGAUGACUAUACGUGAUUCCAUCACUUCCGCCUAGCUAAGGGCGUUAAACAAAAGCGCUUGUUGGGAGGCAACCCAACGAAUUUAUCCUUUUUCUUUCUGUUUUGCGUUUUCCAAACUUUCAUAAUUCUAUUAUGAUUGUGUUUUUUAUGUUUCUUUUUGUGUUUUUGCCAAGCAAAACCGUUAUGAUUAGUCUUGGGGAUGAUCGUUUGGUCAUGUUGGAAAAGACAGAAACUUUCUGCUCACGAAAAGAAUUUUCAUUUUUUUGUAAGAGCUUUUGAGUUGAUUCUUUUUGCUGCUGAUUGCUACGCAAAUUCUUCAUACUGUCGUAAUUUUUCAGAAUUUUUGAAGUACCAGAGUAUACGAAACAUACAGAUUGCUACAGACUGGUCUGCUGUUAACAGAUUCUGUUUUUGUUAUGUUGGUUGCUUAUUUUGAUGAGACUAUGGAUAGUAUCGGGGGGUAUUAGCCAUGGAAGAUUGAAAGUACAGUAACCCAACAUCAACACAAGUAGAAUUUAAGUUUGCUUGAGUACCUAAGGAAGUGGUCGUUUGCUUUCUUGUACUAAUGUUAUCAUGAGUUUCUGUUUAAGUUUCGUGUUGUGAAGUUUUCAAGUUUUGGGUGAAGUUCUUAUGGACAAAGAGAUAAAAGAGUGGCAAGAGCUCAAGCUUGGGGAUGCCCAGGGCACCCCAAGAUAUUCAAGGAUGACGUAAAAUCCUAAGCUUGGGGAUGCCCCGGGAAGGCAUCCCUCUCUCAUCUUCAAUCCAUCGGUAACGUUACUUGGGGCUAUAUUUUUAUUCACCACAUGUUAUAUGUUUUUGCUUGGAGCGUCUUGUAUCGUAGGAGUCUUUUAUUUUUGUUGUGUCACAAUCAUCCUUGCUGCACACCUAGAGAGAGAGAGACAUGCACACACCGUGAUUUUGUCGAGCUUCACUUAUAUCUUUUGGUAGACAAUUCAGCUCACAUGUGCUUCACUUAUAUCUUUUGAGCUAGAUGCUUUUGCUCUAUGUGCUUCACUUAUAUCUUUAAGAGCGCAGCGGUGCGUGGCUUGGUAGUUGAUCUAUGCUUUGAAAGUAGUCUCGAAAGGGGUAGUUAUCCAAAGGGUUAUGAAAACUUCCACCUUCAUGUGCAUUGAAUAGUUAGAGAAGUUCGAUUCAUCUCAAUUAGUUUUGAGUUGUGGUUAUGGUAAUAUUGAAGGCAUGCUAGUAAGGUGUUGUGGAUCUAGAAAUACUUGUGUUGAAGUUAGUGAUUCCCGUAGCAUGCACGUAUGGUGAACCGCUAUGUGAUGAAAUCUGAGCAUGAUUAGUAUAUUGAUUGUCAUCCUUUGCGUGGCGGUCGGGAUCGCGCGAUGGUUUAGACCUACCAACCCUUCCCCUAGGAGUAUGCGUUGAAUGCUUUGUUUCAAUUACUAAUAAAAUGUUUGCAACAAUUAUAUGAGUUCUUCAUGACUAAUGUUGAGUCCAUGGUUUAGAUGCACUUUUACCUUCCACCAUCACUAUCUUCUUAGUGCCGUGCAACUUUCGCCGGUGCACAAAACCCACCAUUAGCCUCCCUCAAAACAGCCACCAUACCUACCUACUAUGGCUUUUUCAUAGUCAUUCCGAGAUAUAUUGCCAUGCAACUACCACCAUGACAUGUGCCACCACGUCUACUUUGCCUUUGCAUGAUCGUAAGAUAGCUAGCAUGAUGUUUCCAUUGAUGUCUAUGCCAUGCUAGAUCAUUGCCACGGUACACUACCGAAGGCAUUCCAUAUAGAGUCAUCGUUACUCUAAGUUUUGAGUUGAAAGUGUGAUGAUCAUCAUUAAUGGAGCAUUGUCCCAUGUGAGGAAAUAAAAGAGGCCAAAGAAGCCCACCAAAAUAAAAAAAAGAGGCCAAAGAGCCCACCAAAAUAAAAUAAAAAUAAUAAAAAAAGAGAAAAAGAGAGAAGGGACAAUGCUACCACCUUUUCCACACUUGUGCAUAUUAAGCACCAUGAUCUUAAUGAUUGAGAGUCUCUCGUUUUGUCACCACCAUAUAGCUAGUGGGAAAUUUUCAUUAUAUAACUUGGCUUGUAUAUUCCAAUGAUAGGCUUCCUCAAAAUUGCCUUAGGUCUUCGUGAGCAAGCAAGUUGGAAAUAUGCCCUAGAGGCAAUAAUAAAUUAGUUAUUAUUAUAUUUAUUGUUCAUGAUAAUCGUUUAUUAUCCAUGCUAUAAUUGUAUUGAUUGGAAACACAGUGCAUGUGUGGAUACAUAGACAAAACACUGUCCCUAGUAAGCCUCUACUUGACUAGCUCGUUGAUCAAAGAUGGUCAAGGUUUCCUGACCAUAGGCAAGUGUUGUCACUUGAUAACGGGGUCACAUCAUUAGGUGAAUCAUGUGAUGGACUAGACCCAAACUAAUAGACGUAGCAUGUUGAUCGUGUCAUUUUGUUGCUACUGUUUUCUGCGUGUCAAGUAUUUGUUCCUUUGACCAUGAGAUCAUAUAACUCACUGACAUCGGAGGAAUGCUUUGUGUGUAUCAAACGUCGCAACGUAACGGGGUGACUAUAAAGAUGCUCGACAGGUAUCUCCGAAGGUGUUCGUUGAGUUAGUAUGGAUCGAGACUGGGAUUUGUCACUCCGUGUGACGGAGAGGUAUCUCGGGGCCCACUCGAUAAUAAAACAUCACACACAAGCCUUGCAAGCAAUGUGACUUAGUGUAAGUUGUGGGAUCUUGUAUUACGGAACGAGUAAAGAGACUUGCCGGUAAACGAGAUUGAAAUAGGUAUGCGGAUACUGACGAUCGAAUCUCGGGCAAGUAACAUACCGAAGGACAAAGGGAAUAACAUACGGGAUUAUAUGAAUCCUUGGCACUGAGGUUCAAACGAUAAGAUCUUCGUAGAAUAUGUAGGAUCCAAUAUGGGCAUCCAGGUCCCGCUAUUGGAUAUUGACCGAGGAGUCACUCGGGUCAUGUCUACAUAGUUCUCGAACCCGCAGGGAUUGCACACUUAAGGUUCGACGUUGUUUUAUGCGUAUUUGAGUUAUAUGAUUCAUUACUGAAUGUUGUUCGAAGUCCCGGAUGAGAUCACGGACGUCAUGAGGGUUUCCGGAAUGGUUCGGAAACGAAGAUUGAUAUAUAGGAUGACUUCUGGUUACCGGAAGGUUUUCGGGCAUUACCAGUAAUGUACCGGGAAUGACGAAUGGGUUUUGGAUCUUCAUCGGGAGGGGGGACCACCUACCCGGGAGGGCCCAAGGACCUUGGGGGUGGCACACCAAGUAGGUGGGGUCAGCCCAAGGCUGUCUUGCGCAAGAGAAAGAGAAAAACCAAAAGAAGAGAAAAAAAGAGAGGAAAGGUGGGAAAGAAGAGAAGGACUCCACCUUCCAAUCCUAGUUGGACUAGGAUUGGAGGAGGACUGCUCCUCCCCUUGAUGGCGCAGCCCUUGGGGCUCCUUGAGCCUCAAGGCAAGCCUCCCCUCCCCUCGUCCUAUAUAUAUGGAGCUAUUAGGGCUGAUUUGAGACAACUUUUGCCACGGCAGCCCGACCACAUACCUCCACGGUUUUUCCUCUAGAUCGCGUUUCUGCGGAGCUCGGGCGGAGCCCUGCUGAGAUUAGAUCACCACCAACCUCCGGAGCGCCGUCACACUGCCGGAGAACUCAUCUACCUCUCCGUCUCUCUUGCUGGAUCAAAAAGGCCGAGAUCAUCGUCGAGCUAUACGUGUGCUGAACGCGGAGGUGCCGUCCGUUCGGCACUAGAUCGGAGCGGAUCGCGGGACGGUUCGUGGGACGGUUUGCGGGGCGGAUCGAGGGACGUGAGGACGUUCCACUACAUCAACCGCAUUUCUUAACGCUUCUGCUGUGUGAUCUACAAGGGUACGUAGAUCGGAAAUCCCCUCUCGUAGAUGGACAUCACCAUGAUAGGUCUUCGUGCGCGUAGGAAAUUUUUUGUUUCCCAUGCGACGUUCCCCUGCAGUGGCAUCAUGAGCUAGGUUCAUGCGUAGAUGUCUUCUCGAGUAGAACACAAAAGUUUUUGUGGGCGGUGAUGUGCGUUUUUUCUGCCCUCCUUAGUAUUUUCUUGAUUCCGCGGUAUUGUUGGAUUGAAGCGGCUUGGACCGACAUUACUCGUACGCUUACGAGAGACUGGUUUCAUCGCUACGAGUAACUCCGUUGCUCAAAGAUGACUGGCAAGUGUCGGUUUCUCCAACUUUAGUUGAAUCGGAUUUGACCGAGGAGGUCCUUGGAUAAGGUUAAAUAGAAAUUCAUAUAUCUCCGUUGUGGUGUUUGCGUAAGUAAGAUGCAGUCCUACUAGAUACCCAUGGUCACCACGUAAAAACAUGCAACAACAAAUUAGAGGACGUCUAACUUGUUUUUGCAGGGUAUGCUUGUGAUGUGAUAUGGCCAACGAUGUGAUGUGAUAUAUUGGAUGUAUGAGAUGAUCAUGUUGUAAUAGUUAAUAUCGACUUGCACGUCGAUGGUACGGCAACCGGCAGGAGCCAUAGGGUUAUCUUUAAACUAACGUUUGUGCUUGCAGAUGCGUUUACUAUAUUGCUAGGACGUAGCUUUAGUAGUAAUAGCAUGAGUAGCACGACAACCCCGAUGGCGACACGUUGAUGGAGAUCAUGAUGAUGGAGAUCAUGGUGUGACGCCGGUGACAAGAAGAUCGUGUCGGUGCUUUGGUGAUGGAGAUCAAGAAGCACAUGAUGAUGGCCAUAUCAUGUCACUUAUGAAUUGCAUGUGAUGUUAAUCCUUUAUGCACCUUAUCUUGCUUAGAACGACGGUAGCAUUAUGAGGUGAUCUCUCACUAAAAUUUCAAGAUGAAAUUGUGUUCUCCCCGACUGUGCACCAUUGCGACAGUUCUUUGUUUCGAGACACCACGUGAUGAUCGGGUGUGAUAGACUCAACGUUCACAUACAACGGGUGCAAAACAGUUGCACACGCGGAACACUCGGGUUAAGCUUGACGAGCCUAGCAUGUGCAUACAUGGCCUCGGAACACAUGAGACCGAAAGGUCGAGCAUGAAUCGUAUAGUUGAUAUGAUUAGCAUAGAGAUGCUUACCACUGAAACUAUUCUCGACUCACGUGAUGAUCGGACUUGAGAUAGUGGAUUUGGAUCAUGUACCACUCAAAUGACACGAGAGAUGUACUUUUUGAGUGGGAGUUCUUAAGUAAUAUGAUUAAUUGAACUAAUUGUCAUGAACAUAGUCUAAUGGUCUUUGCGAAUUACGAUGUAGCUUGCGCUAUAGCUCUACUGUUUUUAUAUGUUCCUAGAGAAAAUUUAGUUGAAAGUUGAUAGUAGCAAACUUUGCAGACUGAGUCUGUAAAACCGAGGAUUGUCCUCGUUGCUAUGCAGAAGGCUUAUGUCCUUAAUGCACCACUCGGUGUGCUGCACCUCGAGCGUCGUCUGUAGAUGAUGUGAACAUCCGACAUACACAUUUCUGAUGACUACACGAUAGUUCAGUACAAAAUACUUAAUGGCUUACAAGCAAGGCGCCGAAGACGUUUUGAAAUGUCACGGAACAUAAGAGAUGUUCUAAAGAGAUGAAAUUGUGAUUUCAUGCUUGUGCCCUUGUUAAGAGGUAUGAUACCCCCGACAAGAUUCUUUGUCCACGAAGUAGAGGAGAAAAGCUCAAUCAUUGAGCGUGUGCUCAGAUUAUCUGAGUACGACAAUCGCUUUAAUCAAGUGGGAGUUGAUCUUCCAGAUAAGAUAGUGAUGGUUCUCCAAAGUCACUGCCACCAAGCUGUGAGAGCUUCGUGAUGAACUAUAACAUAUCAAGGAUAGAUACAAUGAUCCUUGAGCGAUUCGCGAUGUUUGACACUGCGAAAGUAGAAAUCAAGAAGGAGCAUCAAUAGUUGAUGGUUAGUAAAACCACUAAGUUUCGAUAAAGGCAAGGGCUAGAAGGGAUACUUUGUGAAACGACAAAGCAGUUGCUGCACUAAUGAAGAGACCCCAGAUUAAAGCCAAGCCCGGGACUAAGUGCUUCUGUUAUGAGGGGAACGGUCACUGAGGUGGAGCAACUCUAGAUACUUGGUAGAUAAGAAGGCUGGCAAAAGUCGAAAGAAGUAUAUUUGAUAUACAUGAUGUUGAUGUGUACUUUACUAGUACUCCUAGUAGCACGAGGGUAUUGGAUACCGGUUCGGUUGCUAAGUGAUUAGUAACACGAAAUGAAAGCUACGACAUAAACAGAGACUAGCUAAAGGCGAGGUGACGAUACGUGUUGGAAGUGUUUCCAAGGUUGAUAUGAUCAAACGUCGCACACUCCCUCUACCAUCGGGAUUGGUGUUAAACCUAAAUAAUUGUUAUUUGGUGCUUGCGUUAAGCAUGAACAUGAUUGGAUCAUGUUUAUUGCAAUACGAUUAUUCAUUUAAAGAGAAUAAUGGUUACUAUAUUUGCUUGAAUAAUCACCUUCAAUGGUUUAUUGAAUCUCGAUCGUAGUGUUACACAUGUUCAUGAUAUUGGUGCCAAAAGAUACGAGGUAAUGAUGAUAGUACCACUUACUUGUGGCACUACCGCUUGAGUCAUGUUGGUAUAAAUUGCAUGAAGAGGCUCCAUGCUGAUGGAUCUUUAUACUCACUUGAUUUUGAAUCACUAGUGACAUGCAAAUCAUACCACAUGAGCAAGGCCUUGUUUUCAUUGAGAUGAAACAAGAUAGUAACUUGUUGGAAGUGAUACAUUUUGAUGUAUGCAGUCCAAUGGGUGCUGAGGCACGCAGUGGAUAUCAUUAUGUUCUUACUUCAAUGACGAUUUGAGCAGAUACAAGAGUAUUUACUUAAUGAAUCACAAGUCUGAAAUAUUGAAAGGUUCAAUUCUGUUUCAGGAGUGAAGUUCGUCGUAACAAGAGGAUAAACUAUCUACGAUAUGAUCAUAGAAAUGAAUAUCUGAGUUACGAGUUUUUGUACGUAGUUAAGACAAUGUGGAAAUUGUUUCGCAGUUCAUGCCACCUGGAACAUCAUAGUGUGAUGAUGUGUCUGAACGUCAUAGCCACGCACGAUUUGGUAUGGUGCAUGCUAUGAUGUCUCUUAUCGAAUUACCACUAUCGUUUAUGGGUUAUGCAUUAGAGACAACCACAUUCACUUUAAAUUGGGCACCGCGUAUUUCCGUUGAGAUGACAUAAUAUAGACUGAGGUUUAGAGAAAUCUAAACUGUCGUUUCUUGAAAGUUUGGGGCUUCGACACUUAUGUGAAAAAGUUUCAGUCUGAUAAGCUCGAACCCAAGGCGGAUAAAUGCAUCUUCAUAGGAUAUCCAAAACAGUUGGGUACAGCUCCUAUCUCAGAUCCGAAAGCAAAGUGUUUGUUUCUAGAAACUGAUCCUUUCUCGAGGAAAGGUUUCUCUCAAAAGAGUUGAGUGGGAGGGUGGCAGAACUUGAUGAGGUUAUUGAACCAUCACUUCAACCAGUGUGUAGCAGGGCACAGGAAGUUGUUCCUGUGGCGCCUACACCAAUUGAAGUGAAAGCUGAUGAUGGUGAUCAUCGAGCAUCGGAUCAAGUUACUACAAGCCUCGUAGGUUGACAAGGUCGCGUACUACUGUAGAGUGGUACGUUAACCCUGUCUUGGAGGUCAUGUUGUUGAGCAACAGUGAAUCUACGAGUUAUGGAGAAAGCAAUGGUGGGCCCGGAUUCCGACAAAUGGCUGGAAGCCAUGAAAUCCGAGAGAGGAUCCAUGUAUGAAAACAAAGUGUAGACUUUGGAAGAACUACUUGAUGGUCAUAGGACUAUUGAGUAAAGAUGGAUCUUUAAAAGGAAGACAGACGAUGAUGGUGAUAAGUCACUAUUAAGAAAAGCUCGACUUGUCGCAAAGAUGUUUCCGACAAGAUCAAACAGUUGACUAGGAUGAGACUUUCUCACUCGUAGCGAUGCUAAAAGUAUGUUAGAAUUAUGUUAGUAGUUGUUGCAUUAUUUACGAAAUAUUGCACAUAGGAUGUCAAAACAUUGUUUCCUCGACGGUUUGCUUGAGCAAACAUUGGAUGUGAUACAAUCAGGAGGUUUUGUCGAUCCUAAAGAUACUAGCAAGUAUGCAAGCUCCAACAAUCCUUCAAUGGACUGGUGCAAGCAUCUCGGAGUUGGAAUAUACACUUUGAUGAGAUGAUCAAAUAUUUUGGGUUUGUACAAGGUUUAUGAGAAACUUGUAUUUCCAAAGAAGUGAGUGGGAGCACUAUAGAAUUUCUGAUAAGUACAUGUGGUUGACAUAUUGUGGAUCAUAAGUAAUGUAGAAUUUCUGUAAAGCAUACAAGGUUGUUUGAAAGGAGUUUUUCAAAGGAAUACUUGGAUUGCGCUACUUGAACGUUGAGCAUCAAAGAUCUAUGGAGAUAGAUCGAAAGCGCUUAAUAGAAGUUUCUACAAGAUGCAUGCCUUGACAAGUUUUUGAAGGAGUUCAAAAUAGAUCAACAAAGAAGGAGUUCUUGGUUGCGUUGUGAGGUGUGAAUUUGAGUAAGACUCAAAACUCGACCCCGGCAGAAUAAAGAGAAUAGACGAAGGUCGUCUUCUAUGCCUUGGUCGUAGAAUCUGAAGUAUGCCAUGCUGGGUACCGCACCUGAUGUGUGCCUUGACUCAAAGUCUGUUGAGAGGUACAGAGAGUGAUCCAUGAUUGAAUCACUAGCAGCGGUCAAAAUUUAUCCUUAGUAACUGAUGAACUAAGGAAUUUUUCUCGAUUAUGGAGGUGGUUAAAGAGUUCGUCGUAAAGGGUUACGUCGAUGCAAGCUUUGACACUAAUCCGAAUAACUAUGAGUAGUGAAACGGAUUCGUAUAGUAGAGUAGAUGUUUGGAGUAUUUCCGAAUAGCACAUAGUAGCAGCAUCUAUAAGAUGACAUAAAGAUUUGUAAAGAACACACGGAUCUGAAAGUUUCAGAACCGUUGACUAAAACCUCUCUCACGAGCAAGACGUGAUCAGACCCCAUAACUAUAUGGGUGUUGGAUUCGUUGGAAUCACAUGGUGAUGUGAACUAGAUUAUUGACUCUAGUGCAAGUGGGAGACUGUUGGAAAUAUGCCCUAGAGGCAAUAAUAAAUUAAUUAUUAUUAUAUUUCUUUGUUCAUGAUAAUCAUUUAUUAUCCAUGCUAUAAUUGUAUUGAUUGGAAACACAGUGCAUGUGUGGAUACAUAGACAAAACACUGUCCCUAGUAAGCCUCUACUUGACUAGGUCGUUGAUCAAAGAUGGUCAAGGUUUCUAACCAUAGGCAAGUGUUGUCACUUGAUAACGGGGUCACAUCAUUAGGAGAAUCAUGUGAUGGACUAGACCCAAACUAAUAGACGUAGCAUGUUGAUCGUGUCAUUUUGUUGCUACUGUUUUCUGCGUGUCAAGUAUUUGUUCCUAUGACCAUGAGAUCAUAUAACUCACUGACACCGGAGGAAUGCUUUGUGUGUAUCAAACGUCGCAACAUAACUGGGUGACUAUAAAGAUGCUCUACAGGUAUCUCCGAAGGUGUUCGUUGAGUUAGUAUGGAUCGAGACUGGGAUUUGUCACUCCGUGUGACGGAGAGGUAUCUCGGGGCCCACUCGGUAAUACAACAUCACACACAAGCCUUGCAAGCAAUGUGACUUAGUGUAAGUUGCGGGAUCUUGUAUUACGGAAUGAGUAAAGAGACUUGCCGGUAAACGAGAUUGAAAUAGGUAUGCGGAUACUGACGAUCGAAUCUCGGGCAAGUAACAUACCGAAGGACAAAGGGAAUAACAUACGGGAUUAUAUGAAUCCUUGGCACUGAGGUUCAAACGAUAAGAUCUUCGUAGAAUAUGUAGGAUCCAAUAUGGGCAUCCAAGUCCCGCUAUUGGAUAUUUACCGAGGAGUCACUCAGGUCAUGUCUACAUAGUUCUUGAACCCGCAGGGUCUGCACACUUAAGGUUCGACGUUGUUUUUAUGCGUAUUUGAGUUAUAUUGUUGGUUACCGAAUGUUGUUCGAAGUCCCGGAUGAGAUCACGGACGUCACGAGGGUUUCCGAAAUGGUCCGGAAACGAAGAUUGAUAUAUAGGAUGACUUCAUUUGGUUACCGGAAGGUUUUCGGGCAUUACCGGUAAUGUACCGGGAAUGACGAAUGGGUUCCGGAUCUUCACCGGGAGGGGGGACCACCCACCCGGGAGGGCCCAAGGACCUUGGGGGUGGCACACCAAGUAGGUGGGGUCAGCCCAAGGCUGUCUUGCGCAAGAGAGAAAGAAAAACCAAAAGAAGAGAAAGAACAAAAAGAGGAAAGGUGGGAAAGAAGAGAAGGACUCCACCUUCCAAUCCUAGUUGGACUAAGAUUGGAGGAGGAAUCCUCCUCUCCUUGAUGGCGCAGCCCUUGGGGCUCCUUGAGCCUCAAGGCAAGCAUCCCCUCCCCUCCUCCUAUAUAUAUGGAGCUAUUAGGGCUGAUUUGAGAUAACUUUUGCCACGGCAGCCCGACCACAUACCUCCACGGUUUUUCCUCUAGAUCGCGUUUCUGCGGAGCUCGGGCGGAGCCUUGCUGAGAUUAGAUCACCACCAACCUCCGGAGCGCCAUCACGCUGCCGGAGAACUCAUCUACCUCUCCAUCUCUCUUGCGGGAUCAAGAAGGCUGAGAUCAUCGUCGAGCUGUAUGUGUGCUGAACGCGGAGGUGCCGUCCGUUCGGCACUAGAUCGGGGCGGAUCAUGGGACGGAUCGCGGGACGGUUUGUGGGACGGUUCGCGGGGCGGAUCGAGGGACGUGAGGACGUUCCACUACAUCAACCGCAUUUCUUAACGCUUCUGCUGUGCGAUCUACAAGGGUACGUAGAUCGGAAAUCCCCUCUCGUAGAUGGACAUCACCAUGAUAGGUCUUCGUGCGCGUAGGAAAUUUUUUGUUUCCCAUGCGACGUUCCCCUGCAGGAUGCACACCCACUAGUUUUCCUUAAGAGCUUUCACAUACUCGUAGCUCUAGUGCAUAAUUUGUAUGGCAAUCCCUACUCAUUCACAUUGAUAUCUAUUGAUGAGCAUCUCCACCGCUCAUUGAUAUGCCUAGUUAAUGUGACUAUCUUCUCCUUUUUUGUCUUGCAACCUCCACUACAUUCCACACCAUCUGUAGUGCUAUAACCAUGGCUCAUGCUCAUGUAUUGCGUGAGAGUUGAAAAUGUUUGAGAAAGUAAAGGUGUGAAACAAUUACUUGGCCAAUACUGGGGUUGUGCAUGAUUUAAAUUCGUUGUGCAAUGAUGAUAGAGCAUAGCCAGACUAUAUGCUUUUGUAGGGAUAACUUUCUUUUGGCCUUGUUAUUUUGAAAGUUCAUGAUUACUUUGCUAGUUUGCUUGAAUUAUUAUAGUUUCCACGUCAAUAGCAAACUAUUGUUUUGAAUCUAAUGGAUCUGAACAUUCACGUCACAUAAGAGGAAUUACAAAGGACACCUAUGCUAGGUAGCAUGAAAGCAUCAAAAAUUCAUUCUUAUCACUUCCCUACUCGAGGACGAGCAGGAGUUAAGCUUGGGGAUGCUUGAUACGUCUCAAACGUAUCUAUAAUUUUUGAUGGUUUCACGCUGUUAUCUUGUCUUCUUUGGUUGUUUUAUGUAUCUUUUUAUAUCUUUUGGGGACUAACUUAUUAAUUCACUGCCAAGUGUCAGUUCCUGUUUUUUUUCGUGUUUCUGACUCUUUUCAGAUCUGAUUUUGGAAUGGAGUCCCAACGGAAGAAAAACCCCGAAAUGAUUUUUUCCCGAACAGAAGAAGACCAGGGGGCUUUUGGGCCAAGCCAGGUGGGCUCGAGGGAGCCCACAAGCCCCCACUCCGCCACCAGGGGGAGGCGGCGGUGGGCAGGCUUCUGGCCUCCCUGGCCGCCCCCUGACCUAGGUUUUUGGCUUAUAAAUUCCCAAAUAUUCUGCAAAAAAUCAAGGGAGCCUCGAAAAUACUUUUCCGCUGCUGCAAGCUUCCGUUUCCGCAAGAUCUCAUCUGGAGACCCUUCCCGGCGCCCUGCCGGAGGGGACUUUGGAGUUGGAGGGCUUCUUCAUCAUCAUCAUCGCCCCUCCAAUGCCUCGUGAGUAGUACACUUCAGACCUACGGGUCCGUAGUUAGUAGCUAGAUGGCUUCUUCUCUCUCUUGUAUCUUCAAAACAAAGUUCUCCAUGAUCUUCAUGGAGAUCUAUCCGAUGUAAUCUUCUUUGGCGGUGUGUUUGUCGAGAUCUGAUGAAUUGUGGAUUUGUGAUCAGAUUAUCUAUGAUAUAUAUUUGAGUCUUUGCUGAUUUCUUAUAUGCAUGAUUUGAUAUCCUUGUAAGUCUCUCUGAGUCUUGGGUUUUGUUUGGCCAACUAGAUCUAUGAUUCUUGCAAUGGGAGAAGUGCUUUGUUUUGGGUUCUACCAUGUGGUGACCUUUUCCAGUGACAGUAGGGGAAGCAAGGCACACAUCAAGUAGUUGCCAUCAAGGAUAAAAAGAUGGGGUUUUUAUCAUUGGUUUGAGAUUAUCCCUCUACAUCAUGUCAUCUUGCUUAAGGCGUUUCUCUGUUCUUAUGGACUUAAUACACUAGAUGCAUGCUGGAUAGCGGUCGACGUGUGGAGUAAUAGUAGUAGAUGCAGAAAGUAUCAGUCUACUUGUUUCAGACGUGAUACCUAUAGAAAUAAUCAUUGCAUAGAUAUCGUCACGACUUUGCGCAGUUCUAUCAAUUGCUCGACUGUAAUUUGUUCACCCACCUUCUACUUGCUUUUAUGAGAGAAGCCACUAGUAAACACUACGGCCCCCGGGUCUAUUCACAUCCAUCGUUUACAUCUCCGCUUUUAAUUUGCUUUGUUACUUUGUUGCUUUCAGUUCUCACUUGGCAAACAAUCUAUAAGGGAUUGACAACCCCUUCAUAGCGUUGGGUGCAAGCUUUUGUGUUUGUGCAGGAUCUUGAGAUACUCUUCCGUCGAAUUGAUACCUUGGUUCUCAAACUGAGGGAAAUAUUUACCGUCGCUGUGCUACAUCACCCUUUCCGCUUCGAGGGAACACCAACGCAAGGCUCCAAGGCCACGGGGGAAAUCCUUUGCAUACUUGCCUAGGAAGUCCCUUAAGGCGUAGCCGUAGCUGAAGGAUUCCUAGUGCCGUCGACACAACUAUUUCUGGCGCCGUUGCAAGGGAUACACAGCAAACAUCAAUAUGCAAAAGAAAAGAGAUGUGGAUAAUAACGUGAUUAAGUUGAAGCUUUUUCCUUUCUUGUUGCGAGAUCGCGCAAAAACUUGGUUUUCGUCUUUGCCUAAAAAUAGUAUCAAUUCUCGGGAUAAGUGCAAAGAUGCUUACAUAUCCAAGUAUUUUCCGCUGGCUAAGAUACGUAACAAUAUCAUGAAUUUCAAGCAACUUGAUCAUGAACACGUUGCACAAUCUUGGGAGAGGAUGAAGUUAAUGAUUAGAAAUUGUCCCACUCAUGGCUUGAGUUUGUGGAUGAUUAUACAAAUCUUUUACGCUGGUUUGAAUUUUGCUUCUCGCAAUAUCUUGGACUCCGCCUCUGGUGGAACGUUCAUGGAAAUCACGUUAGGAGACGCUACAAAACUCCUAGACAAUAUCAUGACCAACUACUCUCAGUGGCACACUGAAAGGUCACCUGCUAGCAAAAAGGUACACGCUAUAGAAGAAAUUAACUCGCUUAGUGCUAAGAUGGACGAGUUGAUGAAUUUGGUUGCUAGUAGAAAUGCUCCUUUAGAUCCUAAUGACAUGCCACUAUCUUCCUUGAUUGAGAGUAGCAACGCUAGUUUGGACGUUAAUUUUGUUGGUAGGAACAGUUUUGGCAACAACAAUGCUUUUAGAGGAAUCUAUGUUCCUAGGCCUUUUCCUAGUAACUCCUCUAACAGUUAUGGCAAUUCCUACAACAACACUUAUGGAAAUCACAAGAAACUACCCUCUGAUUUAGAGAGUAAUAUCAAAGAGUUCAUCAACACUCAAAAGAUUUUCAAUGCGUCCAUAGAGGAAAAACUACUCAAAAUAGACGAUUUGGCUAAGAGAGUUGAUAGGAUGUCUUGUGAUAUUGAUGCUUUUAAAGUUAGAUGUGCUCCUCCCAAGGUCAACUUCGACGAAACUUUAAAAGCUAUGCGUGUCUCCAUGAAUGAGAGCAAAGAAAGAACCGCCCCGAUUCGCGCUAGGCAUGAAUGGUUUUAAAAGGGUGUGUUCUAGUGGUGCAAAUCAUGAAGAUCUUAAAGUGCUUGGUGUGACUCCUCUUGAAUCUUUGUUUUCGUGUGUCAAACCUAUUGAUGAAGGGGCUCGAUAUGAAUCCACUUUGGUUGAAAACACCCAAUGUUUCGGAGCUCACCUAUCUUGAUGAUAAAGGUGUGGAGAGUGGAGUAGAAGCAAUCAAAAUUUUGGGUAGUGAUGAAACUCCAACUUUGGAUUUCAAGGAAUUCAAUUAUGAUAGUUGUUCCUUGUUUAAAUGCAUUUCCUUGAUGCAAUCAAUUGCAAACUCUCCACAUGCUUAUAGCCAAAGCAAAGCCUUUACCGCACAUAUCGUAGAUGCUAUGAUGAAAUCUCUUGAAGAGAAGCUCGAAUUUUAAGUCUCUGUACCUAGAAAACUUCAUGAUGAGUGGGAACAUACUAUCGAAAUCAAGAUCAAAAACUAUGAGUGCAAUGCUUUGUGUGAUUUGGGUGCUAGUGUUUCUGCGAUUCCAAAGUCUUUAUGUGAUAUUCUUGGUUUUCAUGAGAUUGAAGAGUGUUCUCUUAAUUUGCAUCUUGCGGAUUCUACUGUCAAGAAACCCAUGGGAAGGAUCAGUGAUGUUCUUAUUGUUGCAAAUAAGAACUAUGUACCCGUGGAUUUCAUUGUACUUGACAUAGAUUGCAAUCCUUCAUGUCCCAUUAUUCUUGGUAGACCUUUCCUAAGGACUAUUGGUGCUAUCAUCGAUAUGAAGGAAGGGAAUAUUAGAUUUCAAUUUCCCCUAAAGAAGGGCAUGGAGCAUUUUCCUAGAAAGAAAAUAAGAUUGCCUUAUGAAUCUAUGAUGAGGGCUACUUAUGGUUUGAGCACCAAAGAUGACUAUACGUGAUUCCAUCACCUUUUGCCUAGCUAAGGGCGUUAAUCAAUAGCGCUUGUUGGGAGGCAACCCAACGAAUCUAUCAUUUUUCUUUCUGUUUUGUGUUUUCCACACUUUCAUAAUUCUGUUAUGAUUGUGUUUUUUGUGUUUUCUUUUUGCGUUUGUGCCAAGCAAAACCGUUAUGAUUAGUCUUGGCGAUGAUCGUUUGGUCAUGCUGGAAAAGACAGAAACUUUCUGGUCACGAAAAGAAUUUUCAUUUUUUUUGUGUAAUAGCUUUUGAGUUUAUUCUUCUUGCUGCUGAUUGCUACACAAAUUCUUCAGACUGUCUUAAUUUUUCAGAAUUUUCGAAGUACCAAAAGUAUAAUGUAACGACCAAGAUGCGGUCCUUUCUGAUCUGGGGGUCGAGGCCCCGAAUAGGAAAGAAGCGCAUCUAAGCGUUUCGCAAGCAAGUAACAUAGCACAAAAUAAUAAUACAAGUAGACAAUUCAGGAUUCAACUGUCUUCUUAUUAAUAACUCAGAGUACAACACAGAUACAAACAAGGUAGUUCCGGUACGGACUACAAAACAUGGAAAAUGCUAUGCUACCCUGCUGCAGGCCCACGAUCACGACCACGGCUCAGUCCUCUGGAUAGUUCACGUAGAGGCGGUCUGUCUCCUCGUCGUACUGCCACGCCAGCUGGGUGCCGUCGGGAUCAUCUGUCUCUGGGGUACCUGUACCUGCUGGGAGUUUCGGAGGAAUCCGUGAGCCACGGGGACUCAGCAAUCUAAGACCUUGGUGACAAAACUAGUCAUGUUAUUGGGUAGGGUAGGGAUGAAGUAUAUCAGGCUGCACUAACCUAUGCUUGAUUAAGUGGCUAACUUACGCAAAGUGGAAGUAAAGGUGGUCUACACUAACGGUCGGACUUACUUGAUCACUAAGUGAUCCUGAACACCUACCUACGGCAUUCAUAACACCACCAUGUUCCCGAACAAAGAGGGAUCUUCGAAGGGACAGUCACGGUUACGCACACAGUUGGCAGUUUUAUUUAUUUAUGUUUAAGUUCUCUAAUAUUGGAUGUUAACAAAGCAUUCCAAGUUGCCACAUAACCGCGGGCACGGCUUUCCGAAAGAUUAAACCCUGCAGGGGUGCUCCAACUAGUCCAUCACAAACGAACACAGGCCGCAAAGGCAUCCUCUAUCACGAAUCUCGUGAUCUAGUCGGAUUCCUUAGAGGAAAACCUCAACUCUGGGGGAACCCAAAGCUUCACUGGGAUUCCUAUACGCAAGAUAUACCGCUAAGGUAAGACAAGGCUAGCAGGACCUCCCGACGUGUCGACGACCCUGAUAAGAGUCGCGUAUCUCAGUCUCAGGACAUGCCGGAUGAGCGAUGGUUACCACGCCAAAACACCGAGUUGCCCCGGGGAGCGUAAUAAGCUGCUCUGGAUUGGACCAACACUCAUGAGGAGCACUGGCCCGGGUUGUUGAUUAAGGAUCCUCGGGGUAGCUACUCCCUAUGCAGAUUAUUAUUAAGUUAUUAGCAAUUUAACACCAAUGUUGGGUCCUUCCGGACAAGCCUUAGCACUACGCGAUUUAUUAAGGGGGUCCCCAUAACAACCCCGAACGUGUUAGGAGCGAUCAUUAUGGAAUCAAACUCCGGUAACCGGUAACUAAGGCGGCAAUAACGGAACAAAGCACCCGGCAAAAGGCUAGGCCUCCCGUCAUUUACCAAGUGUAUAGGUGCAUUAAAUAAAUAACAGAAUUUAAUAUAAUGAUAUCCAGCUCAUGUCAUCACAUGAGUUUAAAACACCUGCAACUGACAAUGCUAACAUUAGUAGCUGAGCAAGCCUACUUAGCCACACAAGUUUGCUAGGAAGGAGUACGGUGUUUGGGCUCAUGUCAUAUGAAGAGGCAAUUUAAUUUCAGUGGUAGGCAGUGAGCAAUAUGACAUGGAAAUGAAACUGACAUAACAAGUCUAGAGAUGGAAUCAAGGUCAUAUCAUCUUGCCUGUGAUAUCCUCAGCUUGGAAUGGUUCUGGAUCGUCCUGCACAUACUCUCCUGACUCCACGUAUUCGUUCUCCGAUCCCGGUGCUACCCAACAUAAGAAUAACAGCCAAUGAACAGCAUCACCACAUGAUGCAACAAUCACAUGAUGCAUGAGAUGAAAGUUGGGCAUGCACCACUAUUUCUAUCACUAGCACAAGCAAAAUAAACUACAACAAGUUUCUGGACAGAACUGUACACUAAGCUAUUUUGACAUGCAUGAGGAUGGCAUGAACAUAUGCGGCUCAUGAAAACGGUGCAAAACCAUAUAAAGAACAUUGCAAACGGAGCUACGGAUCAACGGGAAUCAACGAAACAAGAUAUGAAGCUCUACGUGGAAGAUUCAACACCACACACUCAAAUGGCACAAAUCUGGUAUUCCCAGGUUGCCAAGACCUGUAUCAUUCCAACAUGAAUGAAUUUUAGCAAGGAAUAACACCACAACAUCAAUUAAGCACACACAUUGAUCAAAAUGACAAAACUACCUAAUCUGCCAUAAUCUGCAUCUUAGCUAUUUGGGAGCUACAUGCAACAUAGCUACAGGUCUUCAAACAUGACAAAUAAUAUAUGUGGCUGUUGCCAACCAAUAACACUACAAGCACCAGCAAGAAUCACAUCAAAAGGAAUUAAACUCUAGAAGAUACAAGGUCACAAACUUUCCCAAAACCAUCAGAUCUCAGGGACUUAGUGAAAAUUCCUGCACCUGAGUUUCUGUCUCUGUUCUGAAGCUUUUUGACAGCAAUCAAAACACAACCUACUGGAAUCCAAAUGAUUUGAAAAUUGACAGAAAGCUUCACAAAUAUACCAGGUUCAAAAUCCUAGCACUGAACUAAGGCUAGUUCUCAACAGAAUGACCAGCACAUCCUCAUCUGUAAGAGAAGAAAAUGUUUCCAACAUCCCAGACUUAGUGAAAUUUCAGAGUUCACUAAUCUGGAAUUUUUCAGCCACAUGCCCACUUUGUCUAGGCAUAGUUUGCACACACAUAACACCAAGAGGUAAUUGACACCACUAUGGUGUAUAGCAAAACCCCUACUACUAACACACAAAAAUUCAUGCCCUUGUCCUCCACCUAUUCCAUGGAAUCAAGGCUCAAACUUGCAACAAAACUGAAUAUGCAACUCCAUAAAGCACCCUACUAGGACAACAACUACAAGGGUAGGGUUCAUGUGCACAAUGACAAAGUGACAUGGGGGUUUGAACCCCAUGUUUGUGUCAUGCACAUCAACAUCACAAGCACAUCUACCAAACUAUCCCCACACACAAACUCCAUGCCCUCUCACAUAUAGACAUGUGAAGGUGCAUAGUUUUGCAAAGGUGGGGAAGUUCCACACACACACAUAUACUCCACAUCAUUCACAUCAACAUCAUGCUCUAGAUCAACACACAAACCUACACAUACUAAACAUAGCUUGCACCACAUGGCAAACAUACACACACCAUAGGAUCUAGCAACUCUAUACAUACAUGCACUCAACAAAAAUGCACUUCUAAGCAGGAUAAAGCUAAAAGAUCUCCUACACAUGAUUUUAGCUACAUAUGCACCCCUAGUGCAAACACACACACACUCUUAUGCACAUAAACACCCCUUGUGUGUGUGCCACCAUGCACACACACCACACUCACAUAUCUUACCUACACCACUACAACUUCUGGACAGGAAAAGGAAAACAAGAUGCACUCCUUUGUGCCUAUUAUUUAGGCACAAGGUGUAACAGCAAAUAGCAAAGGAAAAUUAAAAGAAAGAAAGGGAAAAAAUGGCAAAAGGGGGCUGGAAGGGAUUCGAACCCUGCACCACCUAGUGCACCACACUGUAUUCUACCACUCUUCUGCUAGCAUAGUUUUGACAGAGAGAGAGGGACAUAACAGGUUAACCCCUCCCUGCUGCUGCUACUGCUAUCAACCAAAGAAAAGAAAACCCAAAAAGGAAGGAGGUGCACCACUUGGGACUCGAUCCCUGCACCUCUCGGUGAAUCACGGGGCUCUCUACCACUGCGCUACGAACGAGAUAACUGACAAAGGAGGGCACGCGAACAAGGUAUACUACCCCCACUGCAGCUCUGCCCUGCACGCACAGAGACAUGCCCACGACAGGGAAGGGACACCAGCACCUCGCCGUGCUGCUGCUGCUUCUCCACUGAAGGAACCUACCGGUACGGGACGACGCUACGAGGGGGGAGGGAGCCCGUGCUACCUCUACUCUCCUGCAACCCGCACCUACAGGGAGCCAACAAGCACACAAACAUACCGAAGCUGUGCUGCUUCGAUAGAGGAGCACAGCGACAGGGAAGAACGCCGGCGUUCUCUGCUGAGCAACUACUACCACGCUACAAAGGAGGAAAAACCCCAGGCUUCGAGGGGGGGGGUAACCCUACUGCUACACAACACACACGCACAUGCAAAGCUUCAGACUGCACGUACACCUGCUGCUAUUGCACGGCAGGGACUUGCUGCAGCCGGAUCGUCGGACCCAACGAGGGAGGAGGGAGGAGAGGGUCGGCUCACCUCGGGGAAAGAAGGAGGAGCCGCUCGGGAGGAAGUCGCCGGCGGUUCGCUGCUGUCGACGAAGUAGAGGAAGACGACGGGAACUCCGGGGCCGAGGCGAUGGCGCGCUCCUGGCCCUCAUUGUGGUCGCCCCUCGUCCUCAACGCUGGUGGGAAUGGGUCGCGGGGAGCCUCCCCGAGCCCGUGGACAUGGCCACCGGCGCCGGAGACGACGGGAGGACGGCGUAGACGCGGCGGAGCUCCUCUGCUUCCUCUGCUACUGUCUACAAGAGACUUACCAGAGACGAAAGAGGAGAAAGGAGGGAGGUGGCGGCGCUGGGGAGAAGGAGAGGGAACCCUAGGGGAGGAGGAGGGUUCCCUCCACCUUAUAUCACCUCGGGGAAGACGCUGGAGCCACAGGAUCAACGGGAGGUGAUCGGGAGGUGGAGCUGCGUUCGUACGUGCAUGACGUCGGGAGGAAGAAGAGGUGUCUCGCGUGGGCUGCUACAUUGCUCGAAGGGGUAUGGGCCUAGGAGAGAAACUGGGCCUCUCUGGGUGGGAGGGAGCCCACCAGAGAAGGAAAAAAGAAACAGCCUUGGCAUUAUUCCUAAUUAGGUAAAAAAACAGAGAAAGAAAAGAAACCCUCAGGACUACUGCUGAUAGUAAAAAUCAAAACAAAAAUGUCCCUGGGCCUAAAAAUACCUAAGCUUUUAAAAUAAAAUGCUAAAGGAAUUUUAUGGGGCAUUUAAAUAAAUACAAAACAUCAAUUAAUUAUACUGUUUUGUGAUUUAUAUACACCCUCAAGACCAAAAUAAAACUCCACAUCAUCACAUCAUCAUCCCCACAAUAACCUCUAAAUACAAGACAUUUUAAAACAGCUCUUGUGAAGAGGGAAUUUGAACAUGAGAAAAUAGGAGAGGAAAAGGGUUUGAAAGUUGCAAUGGUCUUUGAAAAUCCCAAGCAACCACUCCUACACUCCACACACCAUCAUCACAUGACAUCACACAUGAAAUCACAAGGUAGCUAACCACAAGAUCACCACCUACAUUUAUUACUAACACCACAAGAAAUCAUAGUGCAACAACUCAGGUAAGGGCAUGCAAUGAUAUGCUAUGCAUGCAUGCAUGAGAAGGAAAUAGAAGGAACACACAUGAAAUCAUGGUAUCAACUUUAACAUCAUAACCUCUGACAAGGUGGUCCACAUGAAGUAGGUCCAAAAAGGGUAGGUUCUACACUUGGGGCAUUACAUAUACGAAGUAUACAUAUUGCUACAGACUGGUCUGGUGUUAACAGAUUUUGUUUUUGUUGAGUUGGUUGCUUAUUUUGAUGAAACUAUGGAUAGUAUCGGGGGGUAUUAGCCAUGGAAUAUUGAAAAUACAGUAACCCAACAUCAACAUAAGUAGAAUUUAAGUUUUCUACACUACCUAAGGAAGUGGUGGUUUGCUUUCUUAUACUAAUGUUAGCAUGAGUUUCUGUUUAAGUUUCGUGUUGUGAAGUUUUCAAGUUUUGGGUGAAGUUCUUAUGGACAAAGAGAUAAAGAGUGGCAAGAGCUCAAGCUUGGGGAUGCCCAAGGCACCCCAAGUUGAUUCAAGGAUGUCGUAAAAUCCUAAGCUUGGGGAUGCCCCGGGAAGGUAUCCCCUCUUUCGUCUUCAAUCCAUCGGUAACGUUACUUGGGGCUAUAUUUUUAUUCACCACAUGUUAUGUGUUUUGCUUGGAGCGUCUUGUAUCAUAGGAGUCUUCUUUUUGUGUCACAAUCAUCCUUGCUUCACACCUAGAGAGAGAGACAUGCACUUACCGUGAUUUUGUCGAGCUUCACUUAUAGCCUCCCUCAAAACAGCCACCAUACAUACCUACUAUGGCUUUUUCAAAGCUAUUCCGAGAUAUAUUGCCAUACGACUACCACCAUGACAUGUGCCACCACUUCUACAUUGCCAUUGCAUGAUCAUAAGAUAGCUAGCAUGGUGUUUCCAUUUAUGUCUAUGCCAUUCUAGAUCAAUGUCACGGUACACUACCGAAGGCAUUCCAUAUAGAGUAAUCAUUUCUCUAAGUUUUGAGUUGUAAGUGUGAUGGACAUCAUUGAUGGUGCAUUGUCCCAUGUGAGUAAAUAGAAGAGGCCAAAGAUGCCCACCAAAAGAAAGAGGCCAAAGAGCCCACCAAAAAAAUGAGAGAAAAAGAGAGAAGGGACAAUGCUACUAUCUUUCCACACUUGUGCAUAUUAAGCACCAUGAUCUUCAUGAUUGAGAGUCUUUCGUUUUGUCACCACCAUAUAGCUAGUGGGAAAUUUUAAUUAUAUAACUUGGGUUGUAUAUUCCAAUGAUAGGCUUCCUCAAAAUUGCCUUAGUUCUUCGUGAGCAAGCAAGUUGGAUGCACACCCACUAGUUUUCUUUAAGAGCUUUCACAUACUCUUAGCUCUAGUGCAUCAUUUGUAUGGAAAUCCCUACUCAUUCACGUUGAUAUCUAUUAAUGAGCAUCUCCAUAGCUCAUUGAUAUGCCUAGUCAAUGUGACCAUCUUCUCCUUGUUUGCCUUGCAACCUCCACCACACUCCAUUCCACUUAUAGUGCUAAAACCAUGGCUCACGCUCAUGUAUUGCGUGAGAGUUGAAAAAGUUUGAGAAAGUAAAGGUGUGAAAAAAUUACUUGGCCAAUACCGGGGUUGUGCAUGAUUUAAAUUCGUUGUGCAAGGAUGAUAGAGCAUAGCCAGACUAUAUGAUUUUGUAGGGAUAACUUUCUUUUGGCCUUGUUAUUUCGAAAGUUCAUGAUUACCUUGCUAGUUUGCUUGAAUUAUUAUUGUCUCCACGUCAAUAGCAAACUAUUAUUUUGAAUCUAAUGGAUCUGAACAUUCACGUCACAUAAGAGGAGUUACAAAGGACAUCUAUGCUAGGUAGCAUGAAAGCAUCAAAAAUUCAUUCUUUAUCACUUCCCUACUAGAGGACGAGCAGGAGUUAAGCUUGGGGAUGCUUGAUACGUCUCAAACGUAUCUAUAAUUUUUGAUGGUUUCACGCUGUUAUCUUGUCAACUUUGGAUGUUUUAUAUACAUUUUAUAUCUUUUUUGGGACUAACUUAUUAAUUCAGUGCCAAGUGCUAGUUCCUGUUUUUUCUGUGUUUUUGACUCUUUUCAGAUCUGAUUUUGGAACGGAGUCCAAACGGAAUAAAAUCCCUGAAAUAAAUUUUUCCAGAACAGAAGAAGAUCGGGAGGCUUGAGGGCCAAGGCAGUGGGCCCACAGGGAGCCCACAAGCCCUGUUGCCGCGGCCAGGGGGCCUGCGGCAACCAGGCUUGUGGCCUCCCUGGCGCUCCCCUGCCCUAGCUCUUUGGCCUAUAAAUUCCCUAAAAAUCCAGAAAAAAUCAGGGCAUCCACGAAAACACUUUUCCGCCACUGCAAGCUUCCGUUUCCGCGAGAUCUCAUCUGGAGACCCUUCCCGGUGCCCUGCCAGAGGGGACUUUGGAGUUGGAGGGCUUCUACAUCAAUAUCAUCGCCUCUCCAAUGACUCAUGAGUAGUCCACUUCAGACCUACGGGUCCGUAGUUAGUAGCUAGAUGGCUUCUUCUCUCUCUUGGAUCUUCAAUACAAAGUUCUCCAUGAUCUUCAUGCAGAUCUAUCCGAUGUAAUCCUCUUUGGCGGUGUGUUUGUCGAGAUCCGAUGAAUUGUGUAUUUGUGAUCAGANNNNNNNNNNNNNNNNNNNNNNNNNNNNNNNNNNNNNNNNNNNNNNNNNNNNNNNNNNNNNNNNNNNNNNNNNNNNNNNNNNNNNNNNNNNNNNNNNNNNAUAUCAUCACGCGUAAAUUCGAGAUUAUGUCCUAAACACGGAAAAUAAACUAGCGGCAAAUCCCUACACGCAAAAAUACCAAUGACUACUCUAAAAUACAUGGCAAAGGGGUUCCUAAAUCAUGAACUUUUUUUCUACGGCAUACGAGCAAUCCGGGCACGUACGUGAAAUAACUAUGGAACGAAUCCUAUUGGGAGAGCACGUAAAACUAUGCAUUUGGCAUGCUAAACUACGUCAAACAAUUAUGCACGUUGCAAAUUCGAAUUCUACACGAGAUUCUACACAAAAACCAUAUGCUAGACAUCGCGAUCCGACUUACGGAUUAAAAGUUACGUGCAAUUAUAUAUACGUCUAUUUGCUGAAAUAUAACUAAUUCCAAAAAAAAUCUACUAAACCCUAUCAGGUCGAAACCUAAGGCGCAUCACAACUAGAUCUCGCUACGCGCGAAGGAAAGCUCACCUUGGGGGGGCCUCUUGGGCCGGCUCGGGCUGGAAGGAGUAGGCUGGCUCGGGGCUAUUGGCUUGGGCCGUGAGGCAGCCCAGCUGGCGAGCGAGACGCUGGCUCGAUGACGCUGGCAGCGGCCCACCUGGCCGGUCAACGCGCAAGCGGGUGAGGGCUCGUGCCCUCCACGAUCCCGCCUGGAUCGGGAGGCCGGCCGGCUACAACCGGUGACGGGGCAACUGCCGGGGACGGGAGGCACGGAUCUGUAGGGCGGGUGGCGCACCGGCAAGGGCGCGGGGGCGCAGAGGCACGGUAUCCGGCGCGGGGCAUGGAUCCGAGCGACGGAAGGCGCGCCAUGGCUGGGCUGCCAGCUCCGGCGAGCUGCUGCUGGCGGCGGGGCAGGGUUCUGGCGGCGGCUAGCCGUGGCAGAGGCAGGCGGCGACCAGUGGCUGGACGCGUGGGCUCUGGCGGGGCUCGGGAGGAGCUCGGCCAUGAGGCUGCUGCUUCGGGAGGAGGGAGCUCACGAGCCAGCGGCGGCUGGUGCGGCUUGGCCCAGAUCGGGCCCAGGCGGGCCUGCUACGGGCUCAUGGGGCCGACGGCUGCGCUGAGGAGGGAGGGAGGAUAGAGAGAGUGGGGGGCCAGGGUUUCUGGCGUGGAUCCCGAGGUGGAUGGAGGGGGCUGUUAAAAAUAACCUGGGGGUCCUAUUUAUAGGCAAAGGGGGGCUAGGUUUAGCGAAAUUCCGCCCCGGUUCCGACUGCGCGGUCGGAUUCAAAUAAUUCCGAACGCGGGACGGACUAAAUGGUCGUGUAGAGUAGUUAUCCGGAGAUGAGAGGGAAAACGGGCGACGCGGCAACGAUUUUUAAAACACCGGCAACCGUCCGAUGGUAGACCGAAUACGGUGCCGCUACGGUCGACCGUUCGGGUACCACACGUGCUCCGAUCGCGACGAAACUUGACAUGCGGCCUACCUAUAUUAAAAUAAGACCGCACGUCAAAUUCCAACCGAAUUAGAGAAAGUUUUAUACACACUUUUAAAACAGGUUUUUUUUACGAUGUCGCAGGCGCGUGUGUGUGCGGUCAGGCUCGGAAUGGACAACGACGAGAACCGGCAACUAACAACGGAUGCAACUUUUGAAAACUGGCGGCAACGGAGANNNNNNNNNNAUGCAUAUGAUGCACAUGAUGCGAUGAUGAUGCGACAAAAGAAAAUAGACACUCGACGAAAACGGAAUAGAAGGGGAAUCUUCUGGAACGUCGGCAUCGGGCUGUCACAACUCUCCUACACUACAAGAGGUUCUCGCCCCGAGAUCCAAGAAUGAAAGGGGGAGAGGAUGAGAAAGGAAGAGGUAAAACUUAAUCGCUUCUUUGACAACCGAGUGAAACCAACGAUCCUUGAAGGUUGCAAAGCGAUGAGGAAUGAUAUGAGAAAGAAGCAAGAAUUCACGGAAAAUUUCGGCAGCACUUCGGUAGGAAAAGGGGACAAAAAAUCGAUAGAGAAAUACACAAUAUUCAUAACAAACAACUAAAUAGAACAAGGGCACACCAAGAUCUUGAUAGAACAACAUGAUUGAACCAAAAGAGCAACAUUACAAUGCCUCCGGAACAAGAGAAUAAAACUAGCUCAUACGGAAGAAGANNNNNNNNNNUGGCAGCAUUUCGGUAGGAAAAGGGGACAAAAAAUUCGAGAAGAUGGGAGAAAUAGACAAUAUUCAUAACAAACAACUAAAUAGAACAAGGGAACACCAAGAUCUUGAUAGAACAACAUGAUUGAACCAAAAGAGCAACAUCACAAUGCCUCCGGAACAAGAGAAUAAAACUAGCUCAUACGGAAGAAGAGAAUGAAGAAAAGAAUGACAACUAUUAUCACAAGAAUCUUGAAGAACAACUCAGAAUGGAUUGAAACCUUGAUGAACCACCCUGAAGAACCACCGUAUACAAUUGAAUGAUGCAAAGAUAAGAAGGUAGAAAAGAAUAGGAUUAUGACCUUGCCAAGAUUUAGAUGAAGCCUCACAAAGAGAUAUUUAAAAGAACUUGGAACUUUGGUAAAGAAAGAUAAGCGCUUGAGAAAAGAAUUGAUAUCACGAGCCACUCCGGAAGAAGAAUUCAGAUUACCAUGAACAAGAAUAAAAAUUACGUUAUGCUUAUCCUUCAUCAAGUUUAAUUGAUGACAAGCAACGAAUUUNNNNNNNNNNAGAUUAUGACCUUGCCAGAUGAAGCCUCGUGAAGAGAUAUUUAAAAGAACUUGGAACUCUGGAAAAGAAAUAUAAGCGCUUGAGAAAAGAAUUGAUAUCAUGAGCCACUCCGGAAGAAGAAUUCAGAUUGCCAUGAACAAGAAUAAGAAUUAUGUUAUGCUUAUCCUUCAUCAAGUUUAAUUGAUGACAAGCAACGAAUUUAACAUAACACUUAUUCUUCUGAAAAGAUUGAGGAGAGUAUGAGCACAAACUAGAAGAAUUGUUGCAAGAAACACCGGUGAGAAUUGAAAUGAACGAGGCAACCAUGAAUGAAUGGAGAUACAUGAGAAUGAAGAGAUCAUGAGGCACCUGAGAGAAAACUAGAACAAGGCACCAGAAUAAUUGAGAGAUGAACGAAGAGGCAACACUGGAGAAGAAUUUGAGAAUGAAAGCUGCAAGCUGAGAACGAACAAAAUCUUCUAGAUGAUGGCCUUCGGAGGAUCGAGAAUGAAAACAACUCAGAAAAGCACCGGAUAGCAAGAAAUGGAUUCUCAUGAUCGACAACAAUUAAGAUGAUGGCACAAAGCUGAAAUGAUAUCUUCAAGAGAAUGGACUAAGAUUUGAGAGAAACACCCCUUUGGUCUUCAAAGCUGAAAAAGAUGACGAGAAACAACACCAAGGAAAACUGAGAUACUCCAGAAUAAUGAAGAAUGAAAGGUCGAGCCAAUUAUGAGAAAUAAUUCGAAUAGAUCUUGAAGAAGUAAUAUGACUGAUGGAAAUCAUACUUACGUCAUAGUUGAAAAGAUUUAGAGAUCUCCAGAAAAUUAGAAGAGACAUAUAAGAUCCUAGGAAAUACCUGUGGGUUAUGGGCCCACUCAAAGAAACAACCGUUGAAAAGAUUGCUAGAAAGAGAGAUAUUGCACCUGUAUAAAGAAAACUAGAUGAGGUUGAGGACCUUGAAAUAAUUGAAAGGAUCGAGAAUCAGGACUUCUGAAAUAUCUUCAACACUCCGGAUAGAAUAGAGAGAAAAGAAUAACCACAUGGGUUGAUAAGAAUUUCCAUCAUAGGAAAGAAUUACAAGGAUGAAAAGGAUAAGUUGACACGGAUAACUGAAUUGAAUUCACCAGAAAAGGUAACAAGAUUGACUAAAUAUGAACUCGAGGUUCUUGAGAAUCUUCACAAUGGACCACCGGAUAAGAGAGAAAACAAAAGAUCGCGGAAGCAAAUUAAAAGGCACUUGGAUGAAAAUUGAAUCACUAAAGAAAAGGGUGGGGGAGGGAAAAACAAAAACAACUCAGAACAGAUGAGACAAACUCCAGUAAGAAUUGAAAGAAUGAUCUGCAAAUAUUGGAGAGGAUUGAAUUCACUUGAAGAGAAGCACACCGGUUGGAAAAGAAUUAACAUGACGACUCCGGUUGAGAAGAAUUGAUAAGACAAUUGAUUAAGCAAAAUGAUUAGCACUGUCAUAAGAAUAAGAGAACACCACUUAGGAAAGAUCUGAAUCACCACUUGACAUUGAAGCAACUUGAAUUUCCAAACUCCAACAAAACAAAGGAUGCAACUUGCAAUUAGCCAGAACAAACUCAUGAGAAAGAUUUCGUCCGAUAUUUUCAUCGACAGGAUCGCACGGGCUCGAUCUUACAGUAGCCAUCAUGUACAAGGUAGUGCACACGACAUAUGAAGCGUCCCCGAGUCGUAGCAAGCUACAAGGACUCUCUAAGACACAACGAGAACUGCUGUAAGUCGACCAUCAACAAACGAAUCCACUAGAUGUCGAACCCCAACCUAACAUCAUGCACUUAUUGGAAGAUUGUCCUAUAAGUAACUACUUGAAUUCCCACCUAAUAAUUCCCGAAAUUUCUGGUCACGCAAUCUGGUACACGGAUACAAGGAGUAAUAUGUCACACAACUCCUAUACUAACCCAUCACCUGUAUCACAUCCGUCAACACAUAACCAGAAUCUCGGACCUUCAUCUACUACAGACCCUCGUGAUCACAACGAUACAAAGUAUGGCAGUACUCCCGAACAAUCUGCACCAGUACUGGGGACAUCGGGGUUAUCUCGCCACUACUAGUAUUGAAGCAAUUACGAACAUCCUUCGAUCUGAGAUACUAAGAAAUGUGAAUGAUAGCGAUGUGCUCGAGAAUCCCCUGGAGCUCAACUCCCCGGAAGAAAUCAAGUCGGACAUGAGGCACCAAGACAAAACUCCGUCACAUCGGCAUCAUAUAGAUUCCAAAAAUAUCCGUGUGAUCCUAAAAAAAAUUUGAGUGAGAAGAGGAGUAGAACAAAUUAUUACGUCAAGAUUCCUGACCAGAGCAUAGAAGAGGAGAAAAAAGAAACCUACUCUCUGAUACAUAACUAGACUCAAAGUAGUUUUUCACUAGACUCGACUCCGCUAAGUUCGAUCAAUCAAGGGGGCUCCUAGGUCGGUACUGCUCUGAUACCAACUUGUCACGCCCAAGANNNNNNNNNNCGGGGGCCUCGUCGGGGAUAGAAGCGCAUCUCGUCGUUUCGCAAGAAUGGAUAUCGUUACAAGUACAUGUACUAAAAAGAUGAGAUAUAUGGAAUUGGCUUACACUCACCACAGGCUACAUCAAAGUCACAACAGUACAAUACAUAAACAACAUGAAGAAGAGCAGGGUCUGACUACGGACGAAAACAAACGAGAAAAGAAAAAACGACGUCCAUCCUUGCUAUCCCAGGCUGCCAGCCUGGAACCCGUCCUAGAUCAAUGAAGAAGAAGAAGAAGCAACUCCAAAUGAACAAUCAACGCACUCGCGUCAAGUAACCUUUACCUAUACCUCCCGCUGGUGUUGUAGUAAUCUGUGAGCCACAGGGGACUCAACAAUCUCAUUUCCAAAGGUAUCAAGACUAGCAAAGCUUAAUGGGUGAGGUAAGGUUAAGUGGUGAAGUUGCAACAGCGGCUAAGCAUAUAUUUGGUGGCUAAACUUACGAGUAUAAGAAAUAAGAGAGAAAGAUCUACGCAUAGCGGACGUGACUACUGAUGAUCAAAUGAAUGAUCCUGAACACCUACCUACGUCAGACAUAACCCCACCGUGUCCUCGAUCGGAGAAGGAACUCAUGAAAGAGACAGUCACGGUUACGCACUCAGUUGGCAAGUUUUAAUUAAGUUAACUUCAAGUUAUCUAGAACCAGUGUUAAACAAAGUUUCCACGUUGCCACAUAUUCGCGUGGACGGCUUUCCGAAAGAUUUAACCCUGCAGGGGUGCUCCAACUAGUCCAUCACAAAUUACCACAAGUCGCAUAGAAAUCCUCGAUCACGAAGCUCGCAAUCUCGUGGGACUCCUUAGUGGAAAACCUCAACUCUGUGAUUACCCAAAGCAUCACNNNNNNNNNNCAACCCCACCGUGUCCUCGAUCGGAGAAGGAAUUCACGAAAGAGACAGUCACGGUUACGCACUCAGUUGGCAAGCUUUAAUUAAGUUAACUUCAAGUUAUCUAGAACCAGUGUUAAACAAAGUUUCCACGUUGCCACAUAACCGCGGGACGGCUUUUCGAAAGAUUUAACCCUGCAGGGGUGCUCCAACUAGUCCAUCACAAAUUNNNNNNNNNNCCGCAUGGAAAUCCUCGAUCACGAAGCUCGCAAUAUCGUCGGACUCCUUAGUGGAAAACCUCAACUCUGUGAUUACCCAAAGCAUCACCGGAAUCCCGAUGCACAAGAUAUCUCGUCAAAGGUAAAACUAAUCCAGCAAGGCCGCCUGGCGUGUCGACCAUCCCGAUAGGAGCCGCGUAUCUCGUUCUCAGGACACGACGGAUGAGCAGAGCGUACGGUGGCCUGAUAGAAAUCUCCCGAGUUGCCCCGGGUUGGCCCCGCAAACGGCUCUAGUUUUUGGACCAGCACCAUCNNNNNNNNNNCAGCGUGUCGACGAUCCCGAUAAGAGCCGCGUAUCUCGUUCUCAAGACACGACGGAUGAGCACAGCGUACGGUGGCCUGAUAGAAAUCUCCCGAGUUUCCCCGGGUUGGCCCCGCAAACGGCUCUAGUUUUUGGACCAGCACCAUCAGCACUGGCCCCCCUGUAUUAUGUAAAAUUACUCCUCCUGUUCAUGACGCCCUAUGCUUUCAGUAUUAACAAAAUUAUUAUGUUGGGCAAAUGUAGUACCAAUGUUGGGCCUUGCCCGACCAGCUUUAAUCUAAGAUGAAUUAUCAAGGGGGUCCUCAUAACAACCCCGAUCGUGUUAGGAGCGCUCAAUUAUUGAACAUAACACCGGUAGCCGAAACUAAGGGGGCAAAGGUGGAACAAAACACCAGGCUAGAAAGGCCAAGCCUUCCACCUUUUACCAAGUAUAUAGGUGCAUUAAAAUAAAUAACAAUUAAUAUGGUGACAUAACAAAGAACCCAUGUUCUCAGAUGGAAGCAACUCCACCUGCAACUAGCAACGCUAACACAAGGUUGAGCAAGCGGUAACAUAGCCAAUCAGUGGUUUGCUAGGUUGAACAGGUUGAAGGUUUUCAUGGAAUUGUUGAGAGGCUGAUAUUUAACAGGUGGUAGGCAACGAGACAUAAUGGAUAGAAGCAAUAAAACUAGCAUGGCAAUGAUAGUAAUGGUAUCUGGGGAAAUGGUCAUCUUGCCUGAGAUCCCGCUUGGAAGAAGAAUGACUCUGCGAAGCAGACGAACCGAUGUAGUCGAACGGGUCCUCACUUCCGACACACUUGCGGAACUCUAUCGAGUCGGAGGAAACCGGAAACAAGCAACAACACAUGAUAUUCACCACACGAUGCACAACACAUACGAUGCAUGAGNNNNNNNNNNNNNNNNNNNNNNNNNNNNNNNNNNNNNNNNNNNNNNNNNNNNNNNNNNNNNNNNNNNNNNNNNNNNNNNNNNNNNNNNNNNNNNNNNNNNGUAUACCGACGAUCGAAUCUCGGGCAAGUUCUAUACCGACAGACAAAGGGAAUCGUAUACGGGAUUGAUUGAAUCCUUGACAUCGUGGUUCAUCCGAUGAGAUCAUCGUGGAGCUAGUGGGAGCCACCAUGGGUAUCCAGACCCCGCUGAUGGUUAUUGACCAGAGAGGUGUCUCGGUCAUGUCUGCCUGUCUCCCGAACCCGUAGGGUCUACACACUUAAGGUUCGAUGACGCUAGGGUUAUAGGAAAUUGUUAUACGAGAUUACCGAAAGUUGUUCGGAGUCCCGGAUGAGAUCCCGGACGUCACGAGGAGCUCCGGAAUGGUCCGGAGGUAAAGAUUGAUAUAUAGGACGGAUGGUUUCGGACACCGGAAGUGUUUCGGGCAUCACCGGUAACGUACCGGGACCACCAGGACCACCGGAGGUGGUCCUGGGGGACCACCGAAGGGGGGCUGCGACCCCAAGAGGUAAGAUGGGCUAAGUGGGGAAGGGAACCAGCCCCUAAGUGGGCUGGUGCGCCCCCCACCCAGCCCAUGAGCACCAGGAAAAAGGGGAGAGGGGGAACCCUAAUUUAGGUGGGCCUUAGGCCCACCAGAGGGGUGCGCCACCCCUCCCCCUUGCCCUGGCCGCCACCCCUCUCCCAUCUAAGGGCUUCCGCACCCCUUAGGGNNNNNNNNNNNNNNNNNNNNNNNNNNNNNNNNNNNNNNNNNNNNNNNNNNNNNNNNNNNNNNNNNNNNNNNNNNNNNNNNNNNNNNNNNNNNNNNNNNNNUGCCGCCACAAGCUUCCGUUUCCGCGAGAUCUUAUCUAGAGAUCCUUCCCGGUGCCCUGCCGGAGGGGACUUUGGAGUUGGAGGGAUUCUACAUCAACAUCAUCGCCUCUCCAAUGACUCGUGAGUAGUCCACUUCAGAUCUACGGGUCCGUAGUUAGUAGCUAGAUGGCUUCUUCUCUCUCUUGGAUNNNNNNNNNNGGGUCCGUAGUUAGUAGCUCGAUGGCUUCUUCUCUCUCUUGGAUCUUCAAUACAAAGUUCUCCAUGAUCUUCAUGCAGAUCUAUCCGAUGUAAUCCUCUUUGGCGGUGUGUUUGUCGAGAUCCGAUGAAUUGUGUAUUUGUGAUCAGAUUAUCUUUGAAUUAUAUUUGAGUCUUUGCUGAUUUCUUAUAUGCAUGAUUUGAUAUCCUUGUAAUUCUCUUUGAGUCUUGGUUUUUUUUGGCCAACUAGAUCUAUGAUUCUUGCAAUGGGAGAAGUGCUUGGUUNNNNNNNNNNUCGUGUGGUGACCUUUCCCAGUGACAGAAGGGGCAGCAAGGCACGCAUCAUGUUGUUGCCAUCAAGGGUAACAAGAUGGGCUUUUAACGUAGAGAUGAGAUUAUCCAUCUACAUCAUGUCAUCUUGCUUAAGGCGUUACUCUAUUCUUUUGGACUUAAUACACUAGAUGCAUGCUGGAUAGCGGUCGACGUGUGGAGUAACAGUAGUAGAUGCAGAAAGUAUUGGUCUACUUGUUUUGGAUGUGGUGCCUAUAUAUAUAAUCAUUGCCUUAGAUAACGCCGCGACUUUGCGCGGUUCUAUCAAUUGCUUGACAGUAAAUCGUUCACCCACCGUCUACUUGCUUUCAUGAGAGAAGCCACUAGUGAACACUACGGCCCCCGGGUCUAUUCACAACNNNNNNNNNNACUUUGUUUUGGGUUCAUACCGUGUGGUGACCUUUCCCAGUGACAGAAGGGGCAGCAAGGCAUGCAUCGUUUUGUUGCCAUCAAGGGUAACAAGAUGGGCUUUUAUCGUAGAUAUGAGAUUGUCCAUCUACAUCAUGUCAUCUUGCUUAAGGCGUUACUCUGUUCUUUUGGACUUAAUACACUAGANNNNNNNNNNNNNNNNNNNNNNNNNNNNNNNNNNNNNNNNNNNNNNNNNNNNNNNNNNNNNNNNNNNNNNNNNNNNNNNNNNNNNNNNNNNNNNNNNNNNCCGAGUGAUAGUAGGGGCAACAAGGCACACAUCAAGUAGUUGCCAUCAAGGGUAAAAAGAUGGGGGUUUUAUCAUUGGUUUGAGAUUAUCCCUCUACAUCAUGUCAUCUUGCUUAAGGCGUUUCUCUGUUCUUAUGGACUUAAUACACUAGAUGCAUGCUGGAUAGCGGUCGACGUGUGGAGUAAUAGUAGUAGAUGCAGAAAGUAUCAGUCUACUUGUUUCAGACGUGAUACCUAUAGAAAUAAUCAUUGCAUAGAUAUCGUCACGACUUUGCGCAGUUNNNNNNNNNNUAGAAAGUAUCGGUCUACUUGUUUCGGACGUGAUGCCUAUAGAAAUAAUCAUUGCAUAGAUAUCGUCACGACUUUGCGCAGUUCUAUCAAUUGCUCGACUGUAAUUUGUUCACCCACCUUCUACUUGCUUUUAUGAGAGAAGCCACUAGUAAACACUACGGCCCCCGGGUCUAUUCACAUCCAUCGUUUACAUCUCCGCUUUUAAUUUGCUUUGUUACUUUGUUGCUUUCAGUUCUCACUUGGCAAACAAUCUAUAAGGGAUUGACAACCCCUUCAUAGCGUUGGGUGCAAGCUUUUGUGUUUGUGCAGGAUCUUGAGAUACUCUUCCGUCGAAUUGAUACCUUGGUUCUCAAACUGAGGGAAAUAUUUACCGUCGCUGUGCUACAUCACCCUUUCCGCUUCGAGGGAACACCAACGCAAGGCUCCAAGGCCACGGGGGAAAUCCUUUGCNNNNNNNNNNNNNNNNNNNNNNNNNNNNNNNNNNNNNNNNNNNNNNNNNNNNNNNNNNNNNNNNNNNNNNNNNNNNNNNNNNNNNNNNNNNNNNNNNNNNAGUGCCGUCGACACAACUAUUUCUGGCGCCGUUGCAAGGGAUACACAGCAAACAUCAAUAUGCAAAAGAAAAGAGAUGUGGAUAAUAACGUGAUUAAGUUGAAGCUUUUUCCUUUCUUGUUGCGAGAUCGCGCAAAAACUUGGUUUUCGUCUUUGCCUAAAAAUAGUAUCAAUUCUCGGGAUAAGUGCAAAGAUGCUUACAUAUCCAAGUAUUUUCCGCUGGCUAAGAUACGUAACAAUAUCAUGAAUUUCAAGCAACUUGAUCAUGAACACGUUGCACAAUCUUGGGAGAGGAUGAAGUUAAUGAUUAGAAAUUGUCCCACUCAUGGCUUGAGUUUGUGGAUGAUUAUACAAAUCUUUUACGCUGGUUUGAAUUUUGCUUCUCGCAAUAUCUUGGACUCCGCCUCUGGUGGAACGUUCAUGGAAAUCACGUUAGGAGACGCUACAAAACUCCUAGACAAUAUCAUGACCAACUACUCUCAGUGGCACACUGAAAGGUCACCUGCUAGCAAAAAGGUACACGCUAUAGAAGAAAUUAACUCGCUUAGUGCUAAGAUGGACGAGUUGAUGAAUUUGGUUGCUAGUAGAAAUGCUCCUUUAGAUCCUAAUGACAUGCCACUAUCUUCCUUGAUUGAGAGUAGCAACGCUAGUUUGGACGUUAAUUUUGUUGGUAGGAACAGUUUUGGCAACAACAAUGCUUUUAGAGGAAUCUAUGUUCCUAGGCCUUUUCCUAGUAACUCCUCUAACAGUUAUGGCAAUUCCUACAACAACACUUAUGGAAAUCACAAGAAACUACCCUCUGAUUUAGAGAGUAAUAUCAAAGAGUUCAUCAACACUCAAAAGAUUUUCAAUGCGUCCAUAGAGGAAAAACUACUCAAAAUAGACGAUUUGGCUAAGAGAGUUGAUAGGAUGUCUUGUGAUAUUGAUGCUUUUAAAGUUAGAUGUGCUCCUCCCAAGGUCAACUUCGACGAAACUUUAAAAGCUAUGCGUGUCUCCAUGAAUGAGAGCAAAGAAAGAACCGCCCCGAUUCGCGCUAGGCAUGAAUGGUUUUAAAAGGGUGUGUUCUAGUGGUGCAAAUCAUGAAGAUCUUAAAGUGCUUGGUGUGACUCCUCUUGAAUCUUUGUUUUCGUGUGUCAAACCUAUUGAUGAAGGGGCUCGAUAUGAAUCCACUUUGGUUGAAAACACCCAAUGUUUCGGAGCUCACCUAUCUUGAUGAUAAAGGUGUGGAGAGUGGAGUAGAAGCAAUCAAAAUUUUGGGUAGUGAUGAAACUCCAACUUUGGAUUUCAAGGAAUUCAAUUAUGAUAGUUGUUCCUUGUUUAAAUGCAUUUCCUUGAUGCAAUCAAUUGCAAACUCUCCACAUGCUUAUAGCCAAAGCAAAGCCUUUACCGCACAUAUCGUAGAUGCUAUGAUGAAAUCUCUUGAAGAGAAGCUCGAAUUUUAAGUCUCUGUACCUAGAAAACUUCAUGAUGAGUGGGAACAUACUAUCGAAAUCAAGAUCAAAAACUAUGAGUGCAAUGCUUUGUGUGAUUUGGGUGCUAGUGUUUCUGCGAUUCCAAAGUCUUUAUGUGAUAUUCUUGGUUUUCAUGAGAUUGAAGAGUGUUCUCUUAAUUUGCAUCUUGCGGAUUCUACUGUCAAGAAACCCAUGGGAAGGAUCAGUGAUGUUCUUAUUGUUGCAAAUAAGAACUAUGUACCCGUGGAUUUCAUUGUACUUGACAUAGAUUGCAAUCUUUCAUGUCCCAUUAUUCUUGGUAGACCUUUCCUAAGGACUAUUGGUGCUAUCAUCGAUAUGAAGGAAGGGAAUAUUAGAUUUAAAUUUACUUUAAAUAAGGGCAUGGAGCACUUUCCUAGAAAGAAAAUAAGAUUGCCUUAUGAAUCUAUGAUGAGGGCUACUUAUGGUUUGAGGACCAAAGAUGACUAUACGUGAUUCCAUCACUUCCGCCUAGCUAAGGGCGUUAAACAAAAGCGCUUGUUGGGAGGCAACCCAANNNNNNNNNNCAAUUUCCCCNNNNNNNNNNNNNNNNNNNNNNNNNNNNNNNNNNNNNNNNNNNNNNNNNNNNNNNNNNNNNNNNNNNNNNNNNNNNNNNNNNNNNNNNNNNNNNNNNNNNUGUUGGGGAACGUAGCAUAAAUUCAAAAUUUUCCUACGCUUAUUCAGAUCUUCCUAUGGAGAGACCAGCAACGAGAGAGGGGUAGGAGCAUCUUCGUACCUUUGAAGAUCGCUAAGCGGAAGCGUUGCUAGAACGCGGUUGAUGGAGUCGUACUCGCAGCGAUUCCGAUCUAGUGCCGAACAACGGCACCUCCGCGUUCAAGACACGUGCAGCCCGGUGACGUCUCCCGCAGCUUGAUCCAGCAAGGAGGAGGGAGAGGUUGGGGAAGAAGACCAGAAACACGACGGCGUGGUGUUGGUGGAGAGACGAGGUCUCCCGGCAGGGCUUCGCCAAGCGCCGGCAGAGAGGAGGAGGAAGAAGUGCAGGGCUGCGCCGAGAGAGAGAUUAAACCGUGUCUCAAACAGCCCCGAACCUCAUCUAUAUAUAGGGGGAGAGGGAGGGGGCGCAGCCCUUAGGGUUCCCAUCCCUAAGGGGUGCGGCAGCCCUUAGAUGGGAGAGGGGUGGCGGCCAGGGCAAGGGGGAGGGGUGGCGCACCCCUCUGGUGGGCCUAAGGCCCACCUAAAUUAGGGUUNNNNNNNNNNNNNNNNNNNNNNNNNNNNNNNNNNNNNNNNNNNNNNNNNNNNNNNNNNNNNNNNNNNNNNNNNNNNNNNNNNNNNNNNNNNNNNNNNNNNAAAGUCUAGUGUAUUAAGUCCAAAAGAACAGAGUAACGCCUUAAGCAAGAUGACAUGAUGUAGAUGGACAAUCUCAUAUCUACGAUAAAAGCCCAUCUUGUUACCCUUGAUGGCAACAAAACGAUGCAUGCCUUGCUGCCCCUUCUGUCACUGGGAAAGGUCACCACACGGUAUGAACCCAAAACAAAGUACUUCUCCCAUUGCAAGAAUCAUAGAUCUAGUUGGCCAAACAAAACCCAAGACUCGGAGAGACUUACAAGGAUAUCAAAUCAUGCAUAUAAGAAAUCAGCAAAGACUCAAAUAUAAUUCAUAGAUAUUCUGAUCACAAAUCCACAAUUCAUCGGAUCUCGACAAACACACCGCCAAAGAGGAUUACAUCGGAUAGAUCUCCAUGAAGAUCAUGGAGAACUUUGUAUUGAAGAUCCAAGAGAGAGAAGAAGCCAUCUAGCUACUAACUACGGACCCGUAGAUCUGAAGUGGACUACUCACGAGUCAUUGGAGAGGCGAUGAUGUUGAUGUAGAAUCCCUCCAACUCCAAAGUCCCCUCCGGCAGGGCACCGGGAAGGAUCUCUAGAUAAGAUCUCGCGGAAACGGAAGCUUGUGGCGGCAGAAAAGUGUUUUCGUGGAUGCCCUGAUUUUUUCUGGAUUUUUAGGGAAUUUAUAGGCCAAAGAGCUAGGGCAGGGGAGCGCCAGGGAGGCCACAAGCCUGGUUGCCGCGGCCCCCCUGGCCGCGGCAACAGGGCUUGUGGGCUCCCUGUGGGCCCACUGCCUUGGCCCUCAAGCCUCCCAAUCUUCUUCUGUUCUGGAAAAAUUUAUUUCAGGGAUUUUAUUCCGUUUGGACUCCGUUCCAAAAUCAGAUCUGAAAAUAGUCAAAAACACAGAAAAAACAGGAACUGGCACUUGGCACUGAAUUAAUAAGUUAGUCCCAAAAAAGAUAUAAAAGGUAUAUAAAACAUCCAAAGUUGACAAGAUAACAGCGUGAAACCAUCAAAAAUUAUAGAUAUGUUUGAGACGUAUCAUGCCCCCCUUAGUACCAGAUUUUGUCAUAGCGCCAUCUGAAUUGACCUUUAUCCACCCUACCUCCGGCACUUCCCAUCUCUGAAUAUGCAUAUUUUUUGGCAGACCCUCGGGCCUAUCAUGUGUGUUCCUCCACUCCUGUAACAUAGCAGUAACAGACUCCAAUAUCGCAUGUGGUGUAGCAAUCNNNNNNNNNNNNNNNNNNNNNNNNNNNNNNNNNNNNNNNNNNNNNNNNNNNNNNNNNNNNCUUUCCCUCCCUUGCUUCGUUCCUGGCCAGCCAAAGCUCGUAUGUAGCCUGCACCAUUGCUUCCUUCUCGUCGUCAGCGGCACCGGCAAACCAUCCCAGCAGCCAGCAAGAUAAGGCGCCCUGGGAGUCGAUCUGGAUCGGUGGGGCUGCCACCGAGACUCCUUUUUUCGAGCGCAUCAUCUGCCAGAACUGAGUUGAAUGUUGGCACGUCCAAAACCUAUGAAGUAUAGAUUCCUCUCUGUCGCACGCAACACAAAAAACGUUGGGCUUAAUUCGACGCCGAUGAAGUUCUGCACCCACCGCAAGGCCAUUUCUAAUCAUCCUCCACAUAUGAAUUUUAGCUUUGCCUGGAACAUUUGUGUCCCACAACGCAAGGUAACCCUUAUGUUUAUCCACCGAGCUCGAGCCCUCUAGCUGUCCAGAUCUCGCUCCUGUCAAGGACACCCUGAGAUGGUAAGCGGAUCUCACAUUGAACACCCCAUUCUUCGUGUAAUUCCAAGCCUGGUAAUCCUGCAUAUUCGGGCCACCAAUAGGAAUUUGCUUAAUAUCGGCCGUGUCCGAUUCCGAGAACAUGGCAUCCACCUUGUGUGUGUCCCAACACAUCCCCGAACUGGUAAGUAAGUCGCCAACUCUAGUGAUACCCUGUAUAAAUUCUUGUCCCAAUGGCAUCAUACUCCCUCUCCGUGGUAUCCAAUUGUCAUGAUGAAUGCUGAUAUUAGAUCCAUUUCCCACUCUCCAAAUCAACCCCUCCCUUAAUAAGUCUCUCCCAUACAUAAUGCUUCGAAAGGUAUAUGAUGCAUUUGAAGGGCAAGUGGCUGAUAGUAUUGAGUGAUCAGGGAAAUACCGAGCUUUGAGCACUCUUGCCACCAGAGAGGAUGGAGCUUGUAGAACACGCCAGGCUUGCUUCGUCAAGAGAGCUUGAUUUAAUGCCUCCGGAUCCUAAAAACCAAGCCCUCCAUACCUCUUAGGUUUACACAUUUUGUCCCACGAAACCCAGUGCACUUUCCUCUCACCGUUCAUUGCUCCCCACCAGAAUUUUGAAGAAAUAGAAGUCAGGUUCCGGCAUAUCUUCUUGGUUAGGUGAGAACAACUCAUGGUGAAUGUCGGUGUGGCCUGAAGGCCAGAUUUGAUGAGAACCUCCCUCGCAGCUUUAGACAACCCCUGUCCUUUCCAGCCAGUCACUUUACCUUUGGAGCUUUCCGUAACAUACUUGAACGUUCCCUCUUUCGACUUUCCAACCAGUGUUGGAAGCCCUAAGUAACACUCACUGAGAGCCUCCGAUUCAACUCCUAAUACUUGUUUUAAUUGGACCUUUGUCUCAUCCUGGCAUCCCCUCCCGAAAAAGAUUGACGAUUUCUGCAAGUUAACUCUCUGUCCGGAUGCCUCUUCAUACUUAGUCAGUAUCUCCCUUAGUGCCUCCAUAUUCUCAGUGGAUCCCUCUAGGAAUACUAUGCUAUCAUCGGCAAACAACAAAUGUGUGAUAUGGGGCCCAGUGCUCCCAAAAGACACACCCUUGCUUUUAUGCUCCUCCUCAGCUUUCUUUGGCAAAGCUGAGAAACCCUCAACGCAAAACAAAAACAAGUAUGGUAACAAAGGGUCCCCUUGCCUUAGACCCCGAGAGGGUAUGAAGCUCCUGGAUAGACCACCAUUAAGUUUGAUAGAGAAGCUCGCAGAUUUAACACAUCUCAUAACCAUCACAAUCCACUCACGAGAAAAACCAAAUUGAAGAAGCAUCUGCUCGAGAAAGGUCCACUCGACCCUAUCAUAGGCCUUCAUCAUGUCAAGUUUUACCGCGCAUAGACAUUUCUUCCUCUUUCUGGUUCUUAUCGCAUGCACACAUUCAUAAGCUACAAGUAUGUUGUCCGUAAUAAGACGCCCCGGGACGAAGGCGCUUUGCUCCUCAGAGAUCAAAACUGGAAGGAUGCCUUUGAGUCUAUUAGCCAACACCUUGGUAGCUAUCUUGUAUAGCACAUUGCAUAGGCUAAUCGGCCUGAAUUGGGACAACAAAUCCAGAGAGUUUACUUUGGGAAUCAUGACAAUCACAGUGGCAUUAAAGGAGUCCGGAGUCGCUGCCCCACUUAAAAAAUCUCGUACAGCUCGGCACACAUCUUUCCUCACCAACGACCAGUGUUGUUGAUAGAACAUGGCCGGUAAACCAUCAGGCCCUGGAGCCUUAGUUGGCCCCAUUUGAAAUAGGGCAACCUCAAUUUCCUCAUCGGCUAUUGGAGCCGUUAACCUCAUGUCCAUUGCUUCAGAAACUAGCUGAUCAAUAUUUUGAAGCAGUGCAUUGGCUCCUUCUGAUCCUUCCGACGUGAACAGUUUCUCAUAAAAGGAGGCCGCAAGUUGUCUCAUCUCCUCAUCAACUCUGCACAUAGAGCCAUCCUCUCUCCUCAGCGCUCUCACCGUGUUCUUUCUCUUCCGNNNNNNNNNNNNNNNNNNNNNNNNNNNNNNNNNNNNNNNNNNNNNNNNNNNCGAUGUGAUGCCCUGUUCUGAAAGUAUUUCGUGUUCAUAUCGCACGCCUUAAACCAUUCAACCCUAGAUCACUGCAUGUACAUCACCUCCUCUCGCUCGUAAAUCUCCCUAAGUUGCUCCUCAAUAUCCCGAACCUCAGUAGUGUACCCCGUCACCCCGACUCUGGAUUUCGCAUCCACCAUAUCAUCUUUCAGUCUUGUAAUCUACCUCCUGACUGAACCAAAUACAGUCCGUACCCAUCGCUGCAUAUUUCCUGUGACCUUUUGCAGCUUCUGACAAACUGCAGCCAGUCCAUUGUUACCCGAGACAGCUUCCUCUCAUGCCUUAGUGACCAUACCGUCAUACUCUCCAUGUCUAGUCCAAGCCUCUUCGAAUCUGAACUGCCCACUGCCCCCUGGCGGCUUGGCAAGGAGUUGUCUCAUGCGCGCGCACCAGGAUCGCUUGAUGGUCUGACUCCUCAGUCAUAACAUGUUCAACAAGUGUUGUUGGAAAGAGCUCAAGAAAGGAAUCAGUACAAGUAGCUCGAUCCAACCGUACCUGAAUGUUAUCGGUACCACUCCUUUUGUUCUCCCAUGUAUAAGGGUAUCCCGAGAACCCCAAAUCCGCCAAGCCGCAGUCAGCAAGUGUUAGAGCAUAUAUCUCCAUAUGUGGUUUUGGUAAUUGAUGACAAUUCCUAUGGACUAAUGGUUGCCUUAAGUUAUAUUUAUAGGAUUUGUCCAUAGGCACUUCUUGAAGUCCAUCUGUUGGGUUCAAGGAGUUUAUAUGAUGACCAAGAUGGUAUUCAAGGAAUUAUCCAAAGAAUGGUCAUAGAGACACAAGGUUGAUCAAGAUCUCAGACAAAGAAGUAAAUCAAGAUGAUCAACACACAAAGCGUACAAGAUGUACCGAAAGGGAUCAAGUGAUCCCAUGGUAUGGUAAGCAUUGUCCAUUACGUGUUUGUGUACUAACCCAUGGUCUUCGUGAGAGUUCUAUGUGGGGGUUAGGUGUGUUUCCAUGGGCUUGCGUCAAAGGGAAGAUCUCAUACAACCCAUGAAGUAUGACGUCAAGUUGUGAUCGUCAUCAAGAUUGCGGUGUGCAAGUUCAAGUGGAUCAGCACGAAGAUAUCAUGCUUGACGCUUGCCGUCCAUUGUGGUGGCAAUGGACUUGUGAAGAUAUGCUGAAGAGUGGAUCACCCAUAGUGAGUAUGGGGGAGCAAUCAACUAGUCUUCAUCAAGCCAACGCAAUCAAGAAAGGUGGUCCAUCUUAAGGAAGCCAAGAUCAUCAUCAUCUAGCUCAAGAGGAUGAGGUGCAAGGUAUAGUUUUGCCCUUGAUAGGUUUUCUGUUUAGGAUAGAUUGUUGUACUAUCAAGGGGGGCUCUCAAGUGAGUAGCUUGAUCGUAUCGUUCGUUGAGAGCUCAAACCAUUUGCAUCCUUGCAUCAUACUUCUUGGUUCUUGUUUGUUGUUUCUCUUUGUGAGUUUUAGAGCUUAUGGUCAUCUUCAUGACAAGCUCGAGUUCAUCGAAAUGGAGUCCAUAUGCAUCUACUAUGAUGUUUUCGAUGUUGGAGUUUUUGCCGGUUCUUCAUUCAUAGAGGACUCACAUCUCUAUAUCAUUGGCAUUUUCAUAUCUACAUGGUCGCUGUUUGGAUAGCUCUUGUUGUCCUGAAUCCAACAAGCUUGGGUUUGCUCGAUUCGGCGCUCGUAUGCGAAAGUUAUGGAUGUUUCAGUGGCGAGCGGUAGUACCGCGUCCCAGAGGUAGUACCGCCCCUGGCCAGCGGUAGUACCGCUCCAAGUUUUUAGUACCGUCAUCUUGGCGGUUGUACCGCGUCAGACUUUUUGCGAAGACUUUCUUGGCGGUGGUUGGCCCGGUAGUUUCUUUGCGCUACCAUGGGCUCAGCGGUAGUACCGCUGCAGCCAGCGGUAGUACCGCUGGAGGGUCAGUGGUAGUACCGCUGCAGCCAGCGGUAGUACCGCUGGGCUCGGGCUGUAAGUGGGGGUAACGGUCUGAUUCCUUCCCCCCACUAUAUAAAGGGGGUCUUCUUCCCUCUUGGUCUUAUCUAUCCGUUGAGCUCUUGUUCUACCUCCAUUGUUGACAUUCUUAGAGCUUGCUUACUCUCAAUCCCUCCAAUGAUUCUUGCUUGUUCUUGAGGGCAAAGAGAGAGGAGAUCUAGAUCCACAUCUCCACCAAUCACUUUCUCCUCUAUGUGAGGGGAACCCCUUGGAUCUAGAUCUUGGAGUUCUUUGUGAGCUCCUUGUUCUUCCUCUCAUAUUUCUCCAUAGCUUUUGUUGUUGUGGAGGGAUUUGAGUGUGAGGGACUUGACCACUUCGUGUGUGCUUGCCAUUGCAUUAGUUGCACCGGUUUGAGUUCUCCACGGUGAUACGUGGAAGUGAGAAGUUGAGAAGCUUACUACCUUUGGUACUUAGUACCCUAGAUAUUGUUCUUCGUGGAUGCUUUGGCAUCCUAGAAGCUUGGUGGUGUCUCGGAGCUCAAUCAUUGUGGUGUGAAGCUCCGGGAAAGCGUUGGGGUCUCCAAUUAGGUUGUGGAUAUUGCCCCGAGCAAUUUGUACGGUUACCGAUAACCGCCCCCAAGGGUUGCCACGUGUACGGGUUCGGUGACCGCCCCCAAGGUUUGCCAUUUGUACGGGUUCGAUGACCGCCCUCAAGGGUCCCUUAGUGGAAUCACGACAUCUUUCAUUGUGCGAGGGCGUGAGGAGAUUAGGGUGGCCUUAGUGGCAUCUUGGGGAGCAUUGUGCCUCCACACCGCUCCAACGGAGAUUAGCAUCCGCAAGGGUGUGAACUUCGGGAUACAUCAUCGUCUCCCCGUGCCUCGGUUAUCUCUUACCCGAACCCUUUACUUAUGCACUUUACUUUGUGACAGACAUGUUGUUUAUUGUAAUAUAUCUUGCUAUCACUUAGUUGUUUAUCUUGCUUAGCAUAAGUUGUUGGUGCACAUAGGUGAGCCUAGUUGUUUGUAGGUUUUGUGCUUGACAUAUUAAACGUUAGUUUUAUUCCGCAUUUGUUCAAGCCUAAACCUUAAUUAUUUUAAAGCGCCUAUUCCCCCCCCCCCCCUCUAGGCGACAUCCACGUCCUUUCAGCAAGGCAAUCACGAAAAUCCUCCAUCUGUCGGAAGCUCCGUCUGUUCCCUCCAAAUUGUUCUGUGUGAAACAGCACUUCGUUGUAGUCACCUACGCAGAUCCGCGGAAGAUUAUCCUGCGCGGAGAAAACGUAAAGCAUCCCACGAUUUUUUCGUUAGCUCCGUCUUGGGUUCUCCGUAGAAUCCAGUGAAUCUACAAAGCCUCCCCUCCCACACCAUCUCUGCAUCGAUGAAAAAUUGGCACCAUGGCCUCACAGUCACUUGAACAUUCUCUCGCCACCAUAAAGCCAAGCCACCNNNNNNNNNNNNNNNNNNNNNNNNNNNNNNNNNNNNNNNNNNNNNNNNNNCUUCCCAUCACAGUCCACCGCCAUCCCAUUCGAAACCCCCAGACUCCACGGUAUCCUUUCCAUCUCCCUCGCGUUCUGCUUAGUCUCGCUGAGGAAUACCACCACUGGAUUGAGAGACCUAAUCAGGUCUCUUAAUUCUCCCACCGUCGAGGCCAACCCCAAUCCUCGACAGUUCCAGGCUAGGAGAUUCAUGGUGUUCGGCGGCCCUGCACAACAGGGUCGGCCGAUGAAACAUUAUCCCCGGAGAUGCGGUCAAACACUGUAGACGUCUUGCGUCUCGUAUCACAAAUGAAAGCACCCUCUGGACACUGCCUACGUGAGUCAUCCUUAGCAAUCCAAACCUGCUUCGGUCCCCGCUUCCUGUUGUCAUGAACAAAGGCAGCAUGUGAACUUCCCGGCGUGCGGGAAUGUUGCUCUAAUCGCGGCUUCUUCACAUAUGUACCCCGUUUCUUAAUUGCGCAUUCUUGACUUCCAUGCAAUCUCGUGUCCUUCCGCGCAGAGUUAGUGCAUGGCUCAGACAUGCUAGCUUUACUUUUGCUCCCAUGGUUUUCCACCCAUGAUUCUUGACCCUGCUGACGUUGUCCCAAUAAUUUGUCGCGCAGGUCAUGUUCUCUCCGCUGCUCAAUACCCUGCCGAAGAUCACCUUCUCCUCGCGUCGCAAGUUUUUUUCCCCUUAAGCUAGAUAUUGUCCUCGCCCCUGCCCGAUCUCAGUCGCACGCCAGUGCGUGAGUCUGCCGAUCGCAUAAAAUCUGCAUGUAGGUUACGCUUUGUUGGGGCCUCCCUUCUACUGCCAUAUUGGUUAAAACUCCCGUGAUCGCUGUCCCAGUACGCCCAGCUCCGGAGCUACUAUUCUUGCUAGCCGUCGGGCCUCCCACAUAAUCCUUUCCCACCUUGCUCUUCCCCGGUGAUGCCCUCAGCCAUCCACCCCAUUGAGAGCCUGAGUCCACUGGCGGUACACAGAUACCAUCCACAUGAACUAAUCUUCCACAUUGAAAGCAGAAGUGCGGGCCUUUCUCAUAUAGAAAAUCAUACCAAGUUCCAACCUUAUCCUCAAGUGAGGUUUUAAGGUAGAACCCUCUCACCAGGGGUUCGUGAACAGAGAUCUUGGCUCUCACUCUCAGGUGAGCACCUCUCGCUAUGCCUUCAUUGUCACAAUCAACUCGCACAAUCUCCCCCAGCCAAUUACCAAGAGCAUUGCCAAAAGUCUCCGUCCGUCUGGCCGGUGGUAGAUCAUUGACACGCACCCAAAUAUCUACUUUAUCAAACACCAUCUCAGAUGGCCUGGUAUCCCCCUCAUAGUUCUUCAAAAUCACCACACUAAAGUCAAAUUUCUAGGGUCCAUUAUUCAUCACAUGCUUCCAAUCACCUUCACUUCCAAAGUGCACGCCAAAAAUAUUUCCUCCAAGUGGCCUGAACUUUGCCUCCCUAUGCAGCCCCCAUGCCUUUUGCGUCGUUCGCUCCACUUCAGUAAAGUUCAUCCGUCGUGGGUAACACACCUUCCCCACCGCCGACCAUCUUGAAUCCUUUGGGAACGCCGGUUCAGGGUCUUCAAAGACAAAGCCCUGGGAUUCCUUUUCCAUUAGCACCAUACCUCCAAGUCUCGCCGACAAACUCGCUGCAGGAUCCGGCGUCUUGCUCUCCACCGGGGAUUUGGAAGAUCCCCGGCUAGCCGAUCUAACCGUUCUGUGCAUCACCGGCGUGGCUGCCGCCCCUCCCGUGCCUGGAUGGGGCGCCUCCUUUUGGAUGGCCCCCCCUUCCGCCUGAGUGGAUGAUCCUGCUACAGCCUUAGGAGUAGCCGCCGUCGCCGCCUUCACAGAUGCCAUCUUGGCCGUGUUCCCCGCCAUCUUCUCACGCGCCUUCUCUGCCAUGGACUUCUAGCACAAACAGGAUCACCGCCGGUUUGUGCACCGGAGAAGCGUCGUCGCCCUCCAGGACACCAUCGUAAACCCACCACCCCCGAUAGUCAAAACCCUAACCCCUAGCAUAGGAAAGCGGUCGCCAUGCAAUCGCCCCCGUGUCGCCCUAGAGUUUCGCUUCGUGGUGGACCCUAAAUUCCUGUAAAAAAAUAGAUGUUCAUAUUUUAGACUAGCUGAUAGACAAAUCACUGGAUGCGUUUUUAAACUUGUGAUAGUCUACAUUUAAUUUAGACUACCACAUAAACUAACCACUAAAAAUGCUCUUAGCACCUAUCCAAAGUGGAGCAUUGGGAGCAGCCUAACGCGACAAAAACCCCGUCCAGAUUCAAUGGCACGCGACAACGCUGGAGCUCACUCGCCGACGAGGGCCCCGGCCUCGAAUCAGAUACGGCGGCAUCUCCCGUCCCGAACGAGUGGACGACCAAGCCGAAAGCAGUCUCCCACAAUGACGCGCGGGCCAGCGACGCACCCGAGCCCACUCGUCAUCCACCCUGACCCAAACUCGCCCCCACCUGGCGGUCUCGUCUCGCCAAAAUGCGCGACGCACAACGUGGUGGCGGCGCGACGCACGCACGGCCCCUGUCCUGCUCACUCGACCGACCGGCCUCAUGAAUCUGGCCGCCCCCAUCUCCACCUCCACCUCCACGGCCGCCCCUCCCCAUGCCCAUGGGCUCAUGCCAUUAAACCUCUCCCCCGCGCCCUCCUCGCUCCGUCGCUCCCUCUUCGCCUCCCUCCGGAACAAGAUCUCCCCGAUGGCAUCCGCCCCCGCCUCCGCCUCCGCGGCCCUCUCCACCGCCGCCCCCGCCGACAACGGCGCCGCCAAGCCCACGGAGCAGCGGCCGGUACAGGUCCGUGCGCGUCGCUCACCCUUUUUCUUCCUGCCGUCUCGCUAUGUGGAGUUGUAUGGCUCAUAUUUCAGCUCGCGGCUCUGUGUGGCUACACACAGUCACAGUCGGGAAUCAAAAUUAGCUUACCUCUGUCUGAGGCGUAUUGCCAGUCUCCUAUCUGUAGAACUACUGUUGCUGCAGAGCGACUGGAGAUCAGAUUGUUCUGAUAUUAGUAGGUUUUGAGCAGGGCUUUUGCUUCGGUUCNNNNNNNNNNNNNNNNNNNNNNNNNNNNNNNNNNNNNNNNNNNNGUUCAGCAGCUUCUGCUGUGCGUACCAUGCGCACCGAGUUUAGGAGUAGCUCCAUUAUACUUAGGACGUAUUUUGUCACAGGCAAGCUGCAUUGCUGCAGAAGCAAAGUAAUCCUGGGGCUAGUAAAAAACUUCAGGUUCGUGUGCCACCACGUUUGCUGUUGUGAAUGGCGUGCUCAGCUGUAUGCAGAUGAGAAGCAUUUGUUGAAUCCAUUGAACUAGAAAAGGGAAAAUCUAACUGGCGCAGACAGUAGUCGUUGCAAUUUUAGCUUUUUUAUAUUGCUGCAGUAGUAGACUUGUAGUUUCUCGUGCCAUUAGGCAUAUAUGAAGUUGGUUUAGUUAUUUGUGUAGCAUGUUGCUAUGAAGCAUAAUAGCAAGCUAGUGCAAGAACGUUCGCAGCUUUUACAGCGCAGAAAGUAACCACUGGAGUUUUCUUCCACAAUUUAAGAACACCAGAAGGGGAUAAAAAUAACUGUUUGAGAGAAAAUGAUCAAUAUCUUAAUACAAAUGUCGACUCUAUUGGCCAUGUUUUUCACUGGAUGACUGUUAUAAACUUGCUUCAGAAUCCCUUCUGUAGUGGAAUUAUUCAAGAAGAGAAGCCACAGCAUAAACCAUCCCAAAAUAUUCCAAUUUCCCAUCUUUCUGGUCAGGCCCAUAUUACCUCCUUUCCUGUUUAUUAAGCCUGUACGCACCCCUAGAUUGAAAAUUGAAUCAAGAUAAUGCAAGUAGCAUAUCCUAAAUUUAUACGACUGGAAAAUAUAUCAUUUGAACUUUUGAAGUAUCUAAUGAUAUAUUUUUUGUGAUAUAUAAAUUGUACAACGUUCGCCAAAUUGUUAGUCUAGGGAUACACAUAGGCCUAAUAAACCGAGUAGGUAGUAUUACUUAUGAAUUAGUCCAUAGCUGUAUAUAUAUAAAUAAUGCAGAUGGAAACUGUGCACCUUAUUGAAAGAAUUCUAGUACUGCUUGUACUCUGCAUUCUGGCAGGUACCAUCAUCGCCCAUAUGUUAGGUUGCUGCUAUUUUCCAGUUCUCCACAGCUAUGCACCAAUGACCCAUAUAAAGAACAGGUUGUACAUUAUCAUAUUGUAAAAAGAAAUUUGUAUGUGUAUGUUCCACCCUAUGGACUACACUAUUACUUUUUUUCAUUUUCUAUUUAGAUCCCAUUUUGUCCUUACAUAAAUCGUCCGUGGCAUAAAAUGGGCCAUAUAACCCAAAAAUAUGGCAGAACAAUAGUUUAGGGGGNNNNNNNNNNNNNNNNNNNNNNNAAAAUAUGGCAAAAAAAUAGUUUAGGGGGGGGGGGGGCUUCAUUUUAGCGUGGUUGCAGUUUCUCAUGCCAUUAGUCAAAAGAACUACUACACUGAAUUAUAGGUAGAUAGGAAGUUGGUUUUGCUAGCACAAUCUGAAUUUUACGACUUAUGCUGCAGAACAUAGCCCCUUGGGGUUUCUUCCAGAAAUUAUAUACAUCAUACAUCAGAAAGGAAACAAAACAAACUUAGGAGAAAGGAAGAAAACCUUACCAUACAUGUAAAUUGUUCGUCGUUUCUUAUUGGUUUUAUUAACAUAUAAGAAAAUGGCAAAAUAGACCAUCCAAAAUAUCACAAAUUCCCAUCUUGCUGGUCAGUCCCAUUAUUACUCAUCAACUACUACUUCCUUGCUUCUUCUGACCAUACCUGUCUAGUUCCUACCAAAUUUGUGCCUACGAAUGUGAAGUAAAAUACACCCUUUAUCGUGGGGAAAUUGAAAAUACACACUUAUCUGAAAGCCAUAUUGGAAGAUUGAAAGGGCAAUCACAAUAUUGUAUAAUCUAGGACUAAAAAUCUUUGAAAUGUAGGCAUGGGUGCAUGACAAAGAACAUCGGUGCCACUUUUGUGACUGUCCUACUUCAUCAUGGACAGAACCCAGCAUAACGUAUCUAGGUUUUCUUUUUCAUGGUAUUGCCAGCCAUACCAUGACACCAGGUAUAGUAUGUCGGUUAGGGAAAGUCAAGGAACAUAUUUUACACCCAAUUGCAGAGUUUGGCCAGUUUUCCUUAUUAACUGGUCAACUCUCUUCUUCUAUAUGGAAAGGUAGAGCUCCUGCCGGUUGCUCGAUUUUUGUUUUGUUUUGCAGAGUUUGGAGGGGUUUGAUCAUUUUGAUAACAUACAUUUUUAUUAUGUAUGCUUGUGGAGUCAGGGUGCCCCAAAAUAGAUGACUAGACAGGUUGGGCAGACAAAUUGUCAGCCAAACUGUUGUUUAGAGCCUUGGAUUUUGCCAAGGCAUGACCGUCUGUAAUGUCAAAUCAACAGUCAAAACUGUAAAACCUGACAAAUUUACAAACAUAUUAUGUGUACAACACGGUGCAUAACUUUCAUGCUUAGUAAAAUAUUGUUAAAGUUCAACUGGCAUGAACCAGAUGUCUAGGGAUUCUUCUGUAACUUCUAUGAUAAUAGGAUUAAACAUAAAUUUUGCGUCGAUGUAUUCUAGUUUUCUUUUGGGUGAUAUAGGUUUUUCUUGUGUUCACAUCCAUUCUUAAACGAGUUAGAAUUGUACUUCCCGUCAUAGUAUAUAAACUUGAGCUUGUGAUUUAAUCUCUUAUGUAUUGCAGGUGGCUAAGCGAUUGGAGAAGUUCAAAACAACAAUUUUCACACAGAUGAGCAUGCUCGCAGUGAAGCAUGGAGCAAUAAACCUUGGACAGGGGUUUCCCAAUUUUGAUGGCCCUGACUUUGUCAAAGAUGCUGCUAUUGAGGCUAUCAAAGCUGGAAAGAAUCAGUAUGCAAGAGGAUAUGGUGUGCCUGAAUUGAAUUCAGCUGUUGCUGAGAGAUUUCUCAAGGACAGUGGAUUGCACAUCGAUCCUGAUAAGGAAGUUACUGUUACAUCUGGGUGCACAGAAGCAAUAGCUGCAACAAUAUUGGGUCUGAUCAACCCUGGGGAUGAAGUCAUACUGUUUGCUCCAUUCUAUGAUUCUUAUGAGGCUACACUGUCCAUGGCUGGUGCGAAUGUCAAAGCCAUUACACUUCGCCCUCCGGACUUUGCAGUCCCUCUUGAAGAGCUAAAGGCUGCAGUCUCGAAGAAUACCAGAGCAAUAAUGAUUAAUACACCUCACAACCCUACCGGGAAAAUGUUCACAAGGGAGGAACUUGAGUUCAUUGCUGAUCUCUGCAAGGAAAAUGACGUGUUGCUCUUUGCCGAUGAGGUCUACGACAAGCUGGCGUUUGAGGCGGAUCACAUAUCAAUGGCUUCUAUUCCUGGCAUGUAUGAGAGGACCGUCACUAUGAACUCCCUGGGGAAGACGUUCUCCUUGACCGGAUGGAAGAUCGGCUGGGCGAUAGCACCACCGCACCUGACAUGGGGCGUAAGGCAGGCACACUCCUUCCUCACAUUCGCCACCUCCACGCCGAUGCAAUCAGCAGCAGCGGCGGCCUUGAGAGCACCGGACAGCUACUUUGAGGAGCUGAAGAGGGACUACGGCGCAAAGAAAGCGCUGCUGGUGGACGGGCUCAAGGCGGCGGGCUUCAUCGUCUACCCUUCGAGCGGGACCUACUUCGUCAUGGUCGACCACACCCCGUUCGGGUUCGACAACGACGUCGAGUUCUGCGAGUACUUGAUCCGCGAGGUCGGCGUCGUGGCCAUCCCGCCGAGCGUGUUCUACCUGAACCCGGAGGACGGGAAGAACCUGGUGAGGUUCACCUUCUGCAAGGACGACGACACGCUGAGGGCGGCGGUGGACCGGAUGAAGGCCAAGCUCAGGAAGAAAUGAUUGAGGGGGCGAUUUCCGUGCAAAUGAUUGAGGGGGCGAUUUCCGUGUAGCCGUUGAUGAUUGUUUGGUGAAUAAAGACCUGCUCGAUCUGAUCUGAUCUGCAUUCCGGUGCGAUGCAUGUAACACUUUUUUCUAGCAGCAGUUAUCUACUAUAUCUCCUGUCUGUGACUUUGAUCUCUUUCGUCGUUGCUAUUUUGAACGUGUAAGGCGAUGGUGAUGGCUCCGGGUAAAGCUGACGGUACGAAACCUGUGCGGAGCAAAACUGCGGCUGCUAUUUGCUCGAGCCUUUUUC